rnacentral:lncRNA from 1 species
GAGACAUAAGAGGUUUGUAUUUCGGUGUGUGGUCUGGUCAGCAUGAUUGGGGGUUGAACUUUGCAUAUGCAGGAGUUUAUAGGGAGACACUCUUCGAGUUGAAUCCGCAAUGCAUUCCAUAGAUAAUCUGACUACUUUUUAUGUUUUCAUGAAUCUCAGAUUCUGAACAGCUUCAUAAUGAUUAUGAGCUUGCGUGCAUGAAAAGAAUAAAGCAGAACAAUGCCAUGGUUGUCAAACUUGGCAUUAAGGGACUGAAAUCAAGUCUGGAUGCAAUGCAAUCCAAAUGCUCUCCACCUACAGAUUCAUGCUCAGAAUAUGAUCCUAACAGUGAUUCUGAGCUAGAGGGAGACCUAAGUCAAUGUAGCUUCCUAGUGGAGGAGUCAGAGGUAGAUGCCCUAUCUUAUUCACCCAUCAAGGUGCUUGCUCUAACUUUCCAAGGUUAUAUUGGUCGCACAUAUCUUGCAACUGUGCUUUGCAUUGUUUCUACUUUGUUGCACUUCCAUUAGCUUAGUUUACACAUCGUGUAUGUGAAUACGCCCUGCCUAUCCAUUUUCAGUAUAUAUUCGAUCUGUCAUCAUACCAUAUUUAUCCAUUCAAAUGUUGUUCUUGUGUAUCAGACAUUCAAAAGGAAGAGGGCGAUUGCUGAUCGCGGAGGAGCACGAGCAAAGUAUUUGGAAAAGGUAGUGACACCUGAUAAAUCAAAUAGCCCAUUAGGUGUAGUUGCAAUAUCACCUGACCCACAAAACACCCCAACUCUAGCAGACUCUAGCCCUACUACACUGGUCAUUUCUGAUGCCCCAACUCAGCAGACCCCAACUGCAGCAAAUAGUAUGAUGAUGCCAGUUGACAUAGCACGAGCUCUACGACGCAAAACCCCCAUUCCAGCAAAGAGUACACCAAAUCCAGUUGCCAAAUCCCUUUUCGAACCAGAGAGAGCCCCAAUUGCAGCAAAUAGGACCCCUAUUCCAUUUCUUCCCAGUUUAGAAGAUGAAGCUUAUAUUGUUGUCAGGAACUUUGUGCGCAUCUUUCCUUCAUGGAAAGAUUAUACCGCAAACACAUGACAAUUUCCAGUCUUCCUCCGCAACUUACGCGUAAGUAAUGUACUAAUGUUAUUCAUGGUAAUUACUGCACAUGUUUCUGCUGACAGAAGACACAAGAUUUCAUUCUUUUAAAUAGGCGAGGACCAAACUGGAUUGUCAAGACAAGCAAGGGUUGGUUGCACUUUUCAAGCACUCGUUGAUGAAGUAUCGUUCCUACCUGAGGCAAGCGCACUUCGAUGGCAAGCCUCUAAACGAAAUUUCUGUAAAGUCUCCGGUGCUACAUUUAUCACACAGUGACUGGAAUAAUCUUGUUACACAUUGGUCUCGUCUGCAGCGUAAGGUACUGUCUAUGAUAUCACAUCACAAUUUGAACUACAUUUCUGCAUUUGCCUUAACGUCUCACUUGUACGAAAACUGUUACCAGAAGUACAUUCAUUCUCAAGGAACCACAGAAUAUCGCAACUAUACUGCACACUUCAUUGCUCUUGUGAGUACCUCUUGCCCUGUAUGACCAUACUUACUUUCAUAGCUGUUUGAUUAUGUAGCAUCACUACACAUGUUAGCCUCAUUAUCGUCCAUUUGGUGGACAUUAUAAGAUCCGUAUGGACUCUUACAUAAAUUUAGAAUCAACCCAAUGCUUUUGAAGAGGUUUAGCUCUACAGUCCUCUUGUAAGGACUGAACGCCGUCUAUCAUUGUACUUACAUUAACAGCUACUCCCUCCGUCCCAUAAUAUAAGAAUGUUUUGUACAGUACACCAGUGUUCAAAACACUCUUGUAUUAUGGGAAGAGGGAUUGGUUCAUUGUAUAGCAUUCUGCAUCUUAUCUCCCUCGCCCACCAUUUACUAAAAAAUAUUAGAUCUAUAUUUAAUCUUACCAAAAAGUUGAAUACACAGACAAUGCCAGUGCAGAAGUGUAGCCCAUUCCUCUUGUCAGUACAUUUUGUCCUGUAAUGCUUGUACUUCCAGGGAAUGGUAGUUGAUUAUGUAGCAUCAAUCUGCAUCUUAUCUUCAUUAUCCUCUAUCCCUUCCAGUAUUAUCAUAUCUAUAAUUACUCUCUACAAAAUGUAGAGUACAGGCAAUGCUUAUGAAGAAGAUUAUGUGCUGAAAUUCUUGAGUUAUCCUUCCCUUGACAUGAAGAAGGGCAUUAUAAAGCCGGUGUUAACUGUUAAUGUAAGUCAGUCCUUCUAAAGCCUUUAUCCUCAACUGUUGUUUAAUUUGCUCAUACUCCCUAUCGUUUACUGCUGUUUAGUUUGCUCAUACUCUCUAUCGUUUACUGCUGUUUAGUUUGUUGUUUCUAUCAAAAUGCAUGUUCGCAACAACCGUAAGUUCCAAGUUUUACUUGUAAAACCAAAUUCCUUAUUCAUACUAUGCACAUUACUCAAUACUCCCUAUAUGUAUGCUUGUUUUUGUGGAUCUAUAAUCCAGUGUGUGGUGAAGCAGCCCACGUUUGCACCUUGUCAUCUCCUGUUUUGUCUUACUGAUGUGGCUGAUGAUAUGAACAACAUGCCAUGCACAUUAACCAAAAUAGAUACAAUGAUUAUCUUUGCCCUUCAUCUAUGCUUGUUAUGUUGACAUGGUAAUCCAGUAGUGUGGUGAAGCUCCCCGCAUUAUGAACAAUGCCAAAUUAUGCUAUUGAUAUUUUGAACUUACUCUUUCUUUUCUAAUUUGAAAUUGGAUGGAAUUGACAGCACGCUUAUCAUCUUUGUUUAUACACGUGCAAAAUCUGUCAUCUCUCUGCUUGUUUCAGGGUGAUAUGCCUGAUGGCAUGCACAAGUCUGCUGAAGGCUGUGACACAAACCCAACAUAUAUUGCAGCAAAGAAGGCAAAACAUCUUGAAGAUAGCGAAACAACCCCAAAGUCUUGUCUUGAUGCAGUGUUCAAGUUACUUGAGACUAGCAGUCAGACAAGCUCAUAGAAUUCACUGUCUGAAUCAGUUUGACUUCUUCAGUCCCAAGUUCUAGCAGAAAGGCAUUCUGCAACUCAACUUCGACUUGAAGUCCUAUCUCUAAGAAAGAUUGCGGAGAACACCAAUGAGAACCUCAUUGCUAAACAGCUACACCUGGAAGCUAUGACCGACAUGUUAGGCCGGUCUCACAGCCUUGCUCAGCAGCUUGCGCAGCAGUUCCCACGCAAGGAUAACCUUUCUUGAACUGUCUUGGAAGUGGUCCCGGUUCAGUAUUAUUUUGUUACGCUGCAAUGGUGCCCAGUUUUUGUAAUCUGCUUCUUCGUUGCACUUUAUGAUCACUGGUGGCGAACUUUGAUGCCCAGUGGAUGUAAUAUACCAUAAAUCCUUUAUUCUAUAGUGUAGGUUUAUUCUAAGUUACUAUGCCAUAAUUUCUUUAUUCUAUAGAGUAGGUUUGUUCUUAAUUCCUACUAGUUACUGCCAUCAUUCGCUAUCUGAAAAAAAAUCUGAUGUAGUCGACCGGGCCGAAACAUUCGCCUCUAACGGUCCUGGUUUUUAGUGGGCCACAAUUGGGCCGGCCUGCAUCUUUCUUGGGCCCGAAUGGCCAUUGGGGCCUUCACACUUUGCGCCAGGCCCACAACUUACUCCGGCCUAUAUUCGGCCCAAAUUUUAGUUGGGCCUUUUGUGGACCCAGCGCUUAGUUUGGCCCAUGUAGCGUUGGGCCAUUAAUAGGCUGAAUAUUCUGGUGGCCUGUUACGGCCCAGAAGAAACCAUGGGCCUUUAGCAGGCCGAAAUUCAUGUUGGGCCUCAAUUUUCACUAGUCGUCGACGGGCCUUCAGUAGGCUGAAAGGUAGACCGGGCCUUUUUUGGCCUAGUUAUAUGACGGGCCGUUACUAGGCCGAAACAUAUUUCGGGCCUGACUUGGCCCACUAAUAUCAUGGGCCUUUAAGAGGCCGAAAGCUUAGUAUAGGCAUCAAUGGGCCGAAUUAUAUGACAGGCCUUUAACAGGCCCAAAGUCACGUUGGGCUGAACUGUUGCCACCUUUAUCAUGGGCCGUUAGUGGGCCGGAUGUAGCGUUGGACCAUAUAUGGCCCAUGAGCAGCACGGGCCAUUCCCAGGUCGAAAGACACACAGGGAUGAAAUGGGCCCAUGUCUACAUCGGGCCUCUAACAGGCCAAAAGUCACUGGGCCGUAAUUGGGCCCAAAUAUUCGGCGAACAAUUUACGGGCCAGAUCUGGCUUCGGGCCGUAAAUGGGCCUUAUUAAACAGGUCGUUAUUGGGCUGGCCCACUAGUACCUGACUAAGUACUACGGGCCUUUGACUGGGCCGGCCUUUUUAACCUAUAUGGGCCUUUGUUGGGCCGUGCCACGUGUCGACGUAUCAUAGGCGCCUCAUGUCCAAUGAAUGGAUGACAUCCGUCCCAACGGUGAGCCAACACGUGUUUCCUCCGGCCAAUGACAAUUUUACACGUGAAAAAUCCUCAUUGGUCCGGGCUGUUAACGGGUUAUCGGAUCCAAAACCGGACCCGAUAGCUUAAUGUCGACCCGUUAUGGUGGAUGCCACGUGUCGGUCACCCUUGACGAAAGCACUUCUAUGACCCGUGAUUUAUCGUCAUGGAAGUGGACACUUCCAUGAUGAUAAUUUUGCUAAUGUCAUGGAACACUUCUACUACAGCACAGGUAUGACUAUCUUGAUUCUGUCAUAAAAUUGUCAUGGAUGUACAUUCAUGACAGAAAACGUGACCUACUAUGACAAACACGUAUCAUCACGGAAGUGUCUUUUUUUGUAGUGAUGUAAAUAUCGCACACAGUUUCUAAAAGCACAAACAUGUGUGAUAGUAGGGAGUAGGUCCCAUAGGGUGACCAGCGUGAAACGCCUUAAAGGCAAGGAGGCAAUUCCUAUUAGCAAGGGGCGGCUUCCCAUCCGCUAGCCUAGUCAAAUAGAAUGUAGAAGUUAAGCAUGAUCGGGCUGGAGUAGUCUAUGGAUGGGUGACCCGGUGGGAAGUUGCAUAUCUCAAGCUUCAUUUAAAUGCUAUGAUACGGUCAUUAUAGAGAUAAAUGUCUCUAUAGUGACUUGUCAUGGUGAUUAUAUAAACCUUGGGAUCCUUACUUUGCUAAUUUGUAGACUAUGUUUUUAUUGGUUAUUUUUUGUUCUCAAAAAUCAAAGAAUGAUCGACAUCUGUAGGCCCACACAAAUUAUCCCUUUGACCCAAUGCACAAAAAGGGUUUACUCUUUGCUUCAUGUGCUAUGUUAGAGCAAAUCAAGUUUCAGCACAUGCGUUGGACGUCACCCGGCCCCUACCCCCCUCCCCCACCCACCCGCCUCGAAGUUGCAUUCCCGACAUCUUACGUCUUUAACCUGGCCGCGGGGGUACGAUGUUCAGUUUGUAAUGUUACUGAUGUAGUUGGUGCCCCAUCGAACUUGUGCUUCGGUAUUUGAACAAAUCACACACCAGACCCAUACAUUUUUUUCGGGCCGCAUGCAAGGUAUAGGGGGUCGGGUGUUCUGAUCGAGCAUGUCUCCCUUGUGCAGUUUAUAAACGCCGCACAUAUCUAUGGGCUCCCCGAGGUAUAUAUAUCAUCCUUGACCGAUAACGGGGGGCACACAAUCUAUCCCUUUGACCCAACAUACGAGAAGGGUUUGACCAUCAUGGUUUCCUAUUGCUAUGUGUGCCAUGUUAGACCAAACAAAGUUUGAGCGCAUGCGUUGGACNNNNNNNNNNNNNNNNNNNNNNNNNNNNNNNNNNNNNNNNNNNNNNNNNNNNNNNNNNNNNNNNNNNNNNNNNNNNNNNNNNNNNNNNNNNNNNNNNNNNNNNNNNNNNNNNNNNNNNNNNNNNNNNNNNNNNNNNNNNNNNNNNNNNNNNNNNNNNNNNNNNNNNNNNNNNNNNNNNNNNNNNNNNNNNNNNNNNNNNNNNNNNNNNNNNNNNNNNNNNNNNNNNNNNNNNNNNNNNNNNNNNNNNNNNNNNNNNNNNNNNNNNNNNNNNNNNNNNNNNNNNNNNNNNNNNNNNNNNNNNNNNNNNNNNNNNNNNNNNNNNNNNNNNNNNNNNNNNNNNNNNNNNNNNNNNNNNNNNNNNNNNNNNNNNNNNNNNNNNNNNNNNNNNNNNNNNNNNNNNNNNNNNNNNNNNNNNNNUACGUAUUGAACCUGGCUUGGGGUCGGGUACAGUGUUCGGUUUGUACUAUAUUGGUGCCCCAUCGAAGUUGUGCAUUUAGGAUUUGAACACAUCACACACCACCGUACCCAUACAUAUUUUCGGGUCACAUGCAGUGUAUACGAGGUCUUCUGAUCGACCACGUCUCCCUUGUGCAGUUUUUUUGUAACGGCACGCAUAUUUGUGGGCUCCCCGAGUGUAUAUAUAUCAUCCCUUUGACCGAUAAGAAGGGGUAUGUGUUGGCCAUGAAUGGAUUCCUCCUAGUUCGUGUUAGGGCUGGUUGAUAACCCACAAGUAUAGGGGAUCGUUUGUAGCCUUUUUCGAUAAAUAAGAGUGUCGAACCCAACGAGGAGCUAAAGGUAGAACAAAUAUUCCCUCAAGUUCUAUCGACCACCGAUACAACUCUACGCAUGCUUAACGUUCGCUUUACCUAUAACAAGUAUGAAACUAGAAGUACUUUGUAGGUGUGAUAGGAUAGGUUUGCAAGAUAAUAAAGAGCAUGUAAAUAAAAACUAGGGGCUGUUUAGAUAAAUAAAUAACUAAGUUAGUCUUAGUGGAGAGCUUUUUGUCACAAGAAAGUUAUUUGUCCCUAGGCAAUCGAUAACUAGACCGGUAAUCAUUAUUGCAAUUUUAUUUGAGGGAGAGGCAUAAGCUAACAUACUUUCUCUUCUUGGGUCAUAUGCACUUAUGAUUGGAACUCUAGCAAGCAUCCGCAACUACUAAAGAUCAUUAAGGUAAAACCCAACCAUAGCAUUAAAGUAUCAAGUCCUCUUUACUCACAUACGCAAACAACCUACUUACUCGGGUCUGUGCUUCCGUCACUCACGCCACCCACCAUAAGCAAAUCAUGAACAUAUUGCAAACCCUACAGCGGGGAUCCCUCACGCUUGCGCGACACGGACAGCACCAUAGGACAGCACCAAUAAUAAAACAUGCAACUCAAACCAAUCAAGAUCAUCAAUGAACCCAUAGGACAAAACGGAUCUACUCAAACAUCAUAGGAUAGUCAUACAUCAUUGGGAAAUAAUAUAUAGUGUUGAGCACCAUGUUUAAGUAGAGAUUACAGCGGGUAAAGAGGGGUUACACCGCUGCAUAGAGGGGGGAAGAGUUGGUGAUGACGGCAGUGAAGUUGUUCGUGUAGAUCGUUGUCACGAUGAUGACCCCGGCGGCGUUCCGGCGCCACCGGGAGAGAGCCCCCUUCUUCUUCUUCUUCCUUGACCUUCCCCCUAGAUGGGAGAAGGGUCUCCCCUCUGGUCCAUGGCCUCCAUGGCGGCGGAGGGGCGAGAGCCCCUCCGAGAUUGGAUCUCUCUCUGUUUCCUUCUGUUUCUGCGCUCCCUGAUUCUGCCCUUUCACCGUUUCUUAAAUUUCCGGAGAUCCGUAACUCUGAUUGGGCUGAAAUUUGGACACGAUUUUUAUCCGGAUAUUGGCUUUCUUGCGGCGAAAGAAGGGCACCAACCGCCUUAUGAGUGGCCAUGAGGGCCCAGGGCGUGUCCUACCCCCUGGGGCGCGCCCCUCACCCUCGUGGGCCCCUCGGGCAUCGUCUCGCAUUAAUUCCACUUCCCAAAAUUCACAUAUAUUCUAAAAAAAAUCUCCGUAAGUUUUUAUCCCGUUUGGACCCCGUUUGAUAUGGAUUUUCUGCGAAACAAAAAACAUGCAACAAACAGGAACUGGCACUGGGCACUGGAUCAAUAUGUUAGUCCCAAAAUUAGUAUAAAAAGUUGCCAAAAGUAUGUAAAAGUUGUAGAAUAUUGGCAUGGAACAAUCAAAAAUUAUAGAUACGACGGAGACGUAUCACCGGUCAUCGUCACAUGUUGUUCAACCAAACCUCCAGCUCAUGUGUUGUUAGGAUUCCCUCCCACAUGCUCAGAUUGCUGGGUUAGACCGACACCGUAACCUGUGUAUCUCGUCCUUAACUACCUGGCUUUCAUGGUUGUUCUCUGUAUCGAGAGGCAGGCGCCACAUCUAAAUUGUACAUUAUUCGAUAUUGAAAAUACACAUCACCCCUUCCAACGUACAUCAUUUUGGGCCGCAUGCAGGCGGUGCUGGUUUUGUGGUCCCUCUCGUGUGAUUUUUAUGAUGGUUCAAUUUGUUGGUCCAAGUGGUUUAUAUUUAUAGGACUGAGCUAUUUUGUUAGUAGUAUUCUGUUACUCCUCGGCCCUAUAAGGCACGAUUGUCGUUUGCACAAAACCGGCCCCAACAGAAACAAAAGCCCACCACUCUCCCCACGACCUCCUCCCUCAAUCUCUGGAUUCCCCCAAACCCGCGGCCGCAUUUCUCGUCAUAGUACGCCGGCGGCCCCGCUCUUCCUCCUCCCGGCCAAGCGAGCCGCGCGCCACCGGCCCCGCUCCUCUUCCCCAUAUCAGCCAUGCGCGUCGCCGCUCCCGCGCAUGCUUCCUCCUCCUGCCAUGCGCGUCGCCGCCCCGCGCCUCCAUGGCUCCAUCCUCCUCCUAGCACGCGCGCUGCCGUCCCCACGCAUCCUUCCUCCUCCUAGCAUGCGCGCCCCCGUCCCCGCGCCUCCCUCCUCCAAGCACGCCCCACCCCUUCCCCCUCCCGGCAUGCGCGCCGCCGCCCCGACCUUCCUCCCGCACUCACCACCGCUCGCCCCCAUCUCCUCCCUGCUUCCAUAGCCGCCUCGACCCCAUCUCCUCCUAGGUUCCUGCCGCCUCCCCGCCCCCAUCUUCCCCAGCUACGGCCGCCGCGACGCACCUAUAUCCCCAAGCUCCUGCCGCCACAGCGCCCCAUCUCCCCUCGCUCCCACACCACCACGCCAUCUCCUCCCGAUGGGGCUCUGCCGCCGAAGCGAUCUGGCUGUUCACAGCCACCACCCCUGUCCGUUCACCUGUACAAGAUGACCAGGCCGAGGUACGUGCUUGCCCGUGUCAAGUGAUUCGUGCCCGGCUUUCACCAAAAUUUACCUCAGUCCUUAGCUCUAACAUCGAUAUUAUUUUUGAUUGCACUAGGAGGCAACAAAGAAAGAGCUAAGCGAUCUAGUAGAGUUCAUUUAUUGAAGGUGUUCACCUUUUGUGUGAUUAUCAGUUCACGUUUGGUGUGAUUUUCUGUUCAGCAGGCUUACUAUUUCAUCGUCAGGUAAACUGCAAAGCUCUGCGUCUGAUAGAAUAUCCCAUGUUAUAGGUAGUUAUAAAUAUGUCUAGAUGCAAGGAAAGAAAAAAAAUCUCCAGCCAACUUUUGCUUCGCUGAAAUAAAUCAUGCCCUGUUUUGUUGUCAAGCAACAGCAUGGAUUUCACAUAACCAGAAACACACGAACAUGAUCACUAAAUAAGUUGAAGCAUAAGAAUGGUAUGAUCAACAAGCAUUGUUUGUUGCUCUGGAGUCGAAUGAAAAUCACCAUUAUUUUAGGUACACCCAGUGCUAGAGUCAUAGGCAUCUAAACCUUCUAAAAAUAAAAUGAAUGACAAGUUAUCUGCACUUAAUUUUAUGAGCAGUACUACAUGUUACUUGUUUUGACUGUGAGCGUUCAGAACACAUGUUGGUGAUGUUGAGCAAUGGUGAAGGAUCUCGUGACAUAGCUCCUGCCCUCUUAUCAUUUCAACUGUAGUCGUCCAUGGCGGCCUGCUCCCCCACCAUCGCAUCCACCCGUCCUCGAACACCCUCACCAGCGCCUUCAGUUCAAUCCACCUCCUAUUUCUGAAAUCAGUUCCUUCAGUUCCACCGUACUUAGAAAGUCAGUUCAACCUCUCCUAUUUUUUGAAAACACGUCCACCCUGAUUUCAACCUAGGAGAACGGUCAUUUUCUGUGGGUUUUUUCUUUCACGGCUUACUAGUGUCCUAUUUUGUUGUCGAUGCUGUCUAAUUUCUUCUCCGUGUGAGUGUUAGAGAACAAUGUAGUGUUGCCUAUCAACUACUGGUUUGGCCUGUUUCGAGUUUCGGCCUGGUUGAACUUUUGAUUGAGCAUUGGUUUGUUGUCAGUUCUAGUGCGCUCAAACAUAAGGUGGGAUUGAACUAUUAUCGAUGGAUCACUACUAAUAAUUCAACUUACUAUUUUUUGCAGGAUGCAGCAAAAAAGCAAGAUUCACAAGUUCAUCUUCUGGAUGCUUUUCAGUACAUCUACUUCCCGCUGGUAAGUCAAAUUUAUUCUGUGCUUCCAUCUUCCUAUAGCACAAACAGGUGCUUGUGGUUAUGCCUGAUAAUGAUGUUGUACACAAAAUGGCUUAUGGGAUAUCAGGAUAAUGUGUAUACAAAUGAUUUUUGCUUAAUAUUUUGUAUGAUCCAUUUGACAGAAAAGAUUCUUGUUAUUUGUGGAGUUUAUACAACUCUUCUGUCAUCAUAGCUUAUUCAUGUUGGUAGUCCAGGUGCAAACACAAAAUUAAGUUCGUGUGCAUCUACAGGGAAGGUUCGCCUACAAAAUAGAGUUUAAUUCGGUUAAAAAAAGUAAAUUUUACAGAAAAAAUGUGCUUGAAAGUUCAAUUACAGUCACUAAGAAAGUUCGUACACUUUAUUUUCAGGAGUGCAUAUCUUGCGCGUGCUGCUACUAAUCUCAACUUAUUUUCCAGUCAUACUAGUACUGAUGAAUAUCGAGUUGAUGAAAAAUGUAGUAUUACAUGAUAUUGUCGUACAAGACAAUGCGCAUGAUAAUGCUCAGGCUUGAUGGUUAGAUAUUGUAGUCUCAUAAAUACAUGAUAAUGCUGCCAUGAUCUAUUAGAUAACUCAUCUCAGCAUGAUAAUGCUGCCAUGAUUUAUAUAAUUUUGUAAAGAAGAUCUAUAUGUGCAAGUUAUCUGAUAAAAGAAAGAAGAAAAUCCACUUGCAAAUUUAGGGAAACAUGUGUAUCUUGAGAAAAGUUUACAAAAUAAAUGCUAGGAGGUUCAUUUCGUGUUCAUUUAAAUGUCUUCAAUGCAAGUGUGGAGGGCUGGUAAGUUCUACUACCAGUCUACGCCAAGUUCAGGGGCAUUGCCACUGAUGGAAAGGACAAUGAACCAACGACGUCGGAUCAUAGGUCGAAGGAGGCCGGGUCAAGGCACCUUGACUGGUUGUUGUUGUAUGUUGGUGUCGUGCUUGUUGACGUGUUGACUAGCAGAUCAAUAUAUAUGCAUGUUGUUUGCUUUUGACAUGGUAAAUAUAAACUAUUGGUACAAAUUCUAGUUCCUAUAUCAGAAAAGUUCAUUGAGAAAAAAAAUAUCAGUUCAAUGGAUACGUUGUAUCUGUUUAUCACAUAUAUUUGCGAAAGAGUUCAAAAUGUUCUUCCCUUUCUGGAAAUUACAUGUGAUUAUUCAUUUCUUUUUGGGCCAUACAAACAACAAUAACUCAUUAGGCUUGUAUGGCUGAAUUUCUUUUCAUUUGAUCGUAUAACUGGAAUGCAUCUUUGCUUGUAUUAUCUCUUGUAACACUAAGAUUUUUUUUAUGUUGGCAUGUCUUUAGGAGCGCCCUGGCCGAUCACAGCCACCACAGCAGGCCGUUCAACACCACCUCCGCAGGCGGUUCAUCGCAAAAACAGCAACCUGAUUCCCGCUGGUUCUCACCAGCAACGCCCAUUCGAGCACAUCAUCGCUCUCCUGCUGCAGCGUGGCUCAGCUACUGCACUUGGUGGAGGUCAGAGCCUUUCCUCUAGUUUCCUCUAGUUUUGAACUUCAUGGAUCCUUAGUGCCUGAAAACAUUUAACUUGCCGAUCCUUCCUUCCUCUGUUCACAGUACAUGAAUUGGACUGACGAGGAAGAUGCAUUCUGGGUAUAUCAAAGCCUGCUGGAGGAGUCACGGGGUCGAGGACCUCCUGCUUAAUAGUACAACUUCUUGUUUUGUGACCGGUUGCUCAAGGAGCUGAGUGCAGGCCGCAGUAAGUACAUGAGUACUAAUAUUAGGAUAUGUCUGGUCCCAGUAAGUACAUGAGUACUAAUUAGCAAGUUUGAUUGCUUCUGAAAACUGAAUAUGUCAGCUUGUACUGAUGCAUUCCAAAAAUGUGUUGUGUGUUUUCAGGAAAAACAUUUGUCGGGUUUUUGGUGGCCAAGUAUUAUUGAUAUGGAGAUGAAUAACUAUGUGGAUGCGCUCCUAUUGUUUUUCUGGAAAAAACAAGAUGCCAUGUUUUACUUUAUGAGCUUUCCAAUUUGCAUACUUCAAAGUUGUUGCUUGCUCCCACCCGUGAAUUGCGCAAUUUCAAUGGGUGUCGUCGAGCAUGUUCGGAAGUAUGCCCUUCGUGCAAAAGUGUGAAGUUUUGUCAGUAUUUUGUAUAUUUCAUUUGACAAAGGCUUCAUGUGAUCUUAUGAAGCUUUAUAGAUGUACUGCCAUUACACUUUUAAGGCCAUACAGUUCAUUAUAUCAUACAUGUGUGGCAGUUCAAUAUGUAUUACAUGAUCAGUUCUUGGAAAAGAAGAACACAAUAGUUCGGUCGAAAACAAUGAUCAGUUCGAUAGUGCUCUCUCCUGCCUAUUUUGGUUGAUGUCCAUGAAUGGACAAAAAAUUGUAUGGAAAAUGUUCUAUUAUUAUUAGCAUAUAUGUAUGAGAAAUGUUCUAUUAUUGCUAGCAUAUAAGUACAGAAAGAAGUUGAACACGACGUCCUAGAUAAGUUUGGAAAAAAAGCUCAAACAAAAAAUACCAUGAAAAAUUCAAAAUGGUAAAAGUUCAGGUGGUAAAAUGAGAGAAGUUCAGAAUAUCGUUGCAAAGCAAUGUUGAGUUCAAAAGAAAACAUAAAACAUUUUUGUUUUAUUAAAAAUAUAAUUCAGUUCAACGGUAUAAACUAUGCAAGUUCGGGCAUGACGAUACCAUUGAGAAGUUACAAGGAAAAUUAUAAAAAAAAAUACAGAGUAAAGUCUGGUAUGUGAAAACACGCUUAGUACAAAAUCAUAAAGACAUCCGUUCAAAGUACUCCUUUUUGGAACCAUUCAAAACUACUCUGUGAAAAAUACCUCAGUACAAACAUAGACAUAGAUCAGUACGAGUACAGGAAAAAACAACACGAUGGGUUUAACCUUAUUCAAAAUUACUUUUAAAUGGUUGCGAAGUAGAGAAAACGUUCAACAUGACUAAUUUUUGCAUUUUCGAUAGCUGUCCAACGUUAUAUUAUUUGCCCCAUUUCGACAAACUUUUUUAAAAAAUCGCGUUUGAAAUCAAAUUUGACCGUAUUUGAAUUCAAGUUUAAACCGUAAGGAAUUAUAAAAACAUUUCAAUACGAAAAAGUUGCGCAUUUUUCAUAGCUUUCCAACGCCGUAUCAUUUGCAUCAAUCCAAUAAACCGAUUGCAAAAAAAUGCGAAAAUACGUUUCGCCCAAAAUUUCACCGUUUUCCAAAUUACUUUUAAAUUGUAUAGAAUUUGAAAAACAUUAGAUAUAUGGAAGAUGCGGAUUUUUACCAGCUUUCUAACGCCAUCUUAUUUGCUCAAUUCUGAUAAACUGUUUGACGAUUAAGUCCAAAAUACGAUUCGCGUUUUCGGUUUUGAAAAAAAUGGUUUUUCAAAACUGCUCUUAAAGCGUGAUGAUUUUGCAAAAAAAUUCCUAUAUAUUUGUAAUGUAGAUGUCAAGAGCUUUCCAACGAUAUAUUACAUGCCUCAUUCCGACAAAAAGACGAUCAGUUCAACGGGAUGAAAAUCAUCAGUACAACCGUCUUGAACCAUCAGUUCAAGUAGGGUAUUCUGUUACGCGAAACAGAAUAGCCCAGAUGUGUGUGUGUGUGUGUGUAUGUGUGUGUGUGUGUAUUCUGUCCAUUUUUUAUCAACAACGACAGUUGUCGUUUGACCAAACGAUAGAUUCACUAGUUCGUCUUAUGGUAGGUCAUGGCGACAUGCAUGUAUGACCAAAGUAUUAUUACGUGCAUCCGCCCCGCUGACAUGAAGUGGGAGGUGGGUCAAGCACCCUAGCUAGGAAGCUAUGACAUUAUGUCAUUAUAGAUAUAUUCAAGGGUGCUUUCGGGUUUGCGAGGCAGGUGCCACCAAAGUUGUGCAUUGUGUAUUUAAAGUUUUAAACAUCACACCAUAUAUUCCUACAUAUAUUUGGCCUCUUCCAGGUGGUUCUUGACUUCUGGCCCCUCUCAUCGAUCUUCGACGACGCGCCAAACCAUGGGCCCGCCCGGUCAAAGUUGUGCAUUGGAAUUUUGAACAUCACAGACCACCCUUUUCACUCAUAUAUAUUUGGGCCACAUGCUGGUGUGGUUGUCUUCUGACCCUCUGUAACGUUUUUUUUGCUGCAAAGACUCUGAUGACGCUCAACGGACACGGGUAUAAUGGCUUAACCGUGUGCGGUGCAAGUGCGCUGUGAAUCACCACGACUGCGCAAGCGCGAGCAAAGGUGGAGGUACUGGCUUAACCGUGUGCGAUGCAAGUGCGCUGUAAAUUCACCACCUGCGCAAGCUAAAGGCAGGUAGUUUAUUUAGAUUGAAUUCCACGUCUGCGUUUGAAAAUUAGGACGAACCGUGUGCGACAAACCAGCUAGCUAGAAAUCUAAAAAUAAACUACCCGCCUUGAGCGUUGCAAAAAUCGGUGGUUCCGCUGCUUUUACUUAUUAUCACACACGCAUAUUCUUAUUGGGUCGUGUGUGAUCUUGGGUACUCCCGCCCCGCAUCAAUUCCUUUACCCAAAUUUUAGUAGCCGCCGUACUUCAACCAUCGCCCACACUCCUCCAGCACCGACCUUAUAGUAAAAUUGCAGUAGCCGAGGCAUUUGAACCAUCACCCUCCCUCGUCCACCACUAUCUCCACCCACCAUUACUAAAAUUUUCAGUAGCCGCGGCGUAUCCUCAAACACCACCCCCCUCCACAACCCCCCACCCAGCCCCCUCCCCCCUCGAACCCUAGCUCGCCACUGCCAACCCCUGCUGGUCUGCCCAUUCCUCCUGGCUUAGAUAAUAAAGUUCGGGUUACCCAGCGAUUCCCAUACCGUCGCCCCACUCCCCUGAGUUUAUAGAUAAGGCCUACGAUGUCCCUUCCCGCCAGAUCCACAUCCCCUGCUCCAGAAUGUCACAGCCUAAGCUCGACCAUGUAUCCUGGGAAGCCCGACGAGCGUUCGGCCAAGAAGAGGUUUAUCAUGGCCUCUCCGGCGGACGUUGGCGAGGUGGCCGUCGUUCGCCCUGACCUGUCGAUCCCGGAGCAACACCUUGCCGCGGAAGCCGGCGAAGACGUUGACUACGUUGCCAUGCCGAAGGCUUCACGUCAGCGGGCUAGCGUAUUACUGUAUCUCGGGAAAGCUGGCUACGACAUCAAGCUCGUCGACAACUACGGCUUCACGUGGGACAUGUCACAGGUUAAGUGGUCCAUCCCCAACCCCUCUGGUUCAACCGUCGUUGAUCUCUUCGAUGGCCCUGCCGCUGAUCUCCUCCGCCACGCGGUCAAGGAUUUGCGAUCCUUGUACGCCAUCGAGCCCAUUUUGUCAUUUCUGAAGACAUGUUCUAUGGCGGCGGAUUGGCAUCCUCAAUUGCGAAGUCAGAUCUCAUCGAUCACGACCACGAGGAGGGCACCCACAAAGUUUCUUCCAAGGUGAAACAACCCAUCUGUGACAUCAGAGAGCGCACCAUGGGUCUGUGCUCUUCCAACAGGAAGGAUCCCAUCCAUGACAUGUGAGGCAAUGCUACCUCUUGAGCACUGCGUUGGUUUUCCCUUGAAGAGGAAAGGGUGAUGCAUCAAAGUAGCGUAAGUAUUUCCCUCAGUUUUUGAGAACCAAGGUAUCAAUCCAGUAGGAGACUACACGCAAGUCGCUUCAUACCUACACAAACAAAUAAGAACCUUGCAACCAACGCGAUAAAGGGGUUGUCAAUCCCUUCACACCCACUUGCAAAAGUGAGAUCUGAUAGAGAUAAUAAGAUAAAUAUUUUUGGUAUUUUUAUGAUAUAGAUUGAAAAGUAAAGAUUACAAAAAUAAACGGCGACAGAAAUAGCAAGUUGGCGGGAGAUUAAUAUGAUGGAAGAUAGACCCGGGGCCAUAGGUUUCACUAGUGGCUUCUCUCAAGAUAGCAUAAGUAUUACGGUGGGUGAACAAAUUACUAUCGAGCAAUUGAUAGAAAAGUGCAUAAUUAUGAGAAUAUCUAGGCAUGAUCAUGUAUAUAGGCAUCACGUCCGCGACAAGUAGACCGAAACGAUUCUGCAUCUACUACUAUUACUCCACACAUUGACCGCUAUCCAACAUGCAUCUAGAGUAUUAAGUUCAUAAGAACAGAGUAACGCAUUAGGCAAGAUGACAUGAUGUAGAGGGAUAAACUCAAGCAAUAUGAUAUAAACCCCAUCUUUUUAUCCUCGAUGGCAACAAUACAAUACGUGCCUUGAUGCCCCUGCUGUCACUGGGAAAGGACACCGCAAGAUUGAACCCAAAGCUAAGCACUUCUCCCAUUGCAAGAAAGAUCAAUCUAGUCGGCCAAUCCAAACUGAUAAUUCGAAGAGACUUGCAAAGAUAACAAAUCAUACAUAAAAGAAUUUAGAGGAGAUUCAAAUAUAGUUCAUAGAUAAUCUUGAUCAUAAACCCACAAUUCAUCGGAUCUCGACAAACACACCGCAAAAAGAAUUACAUCGAAUAGAUAUCCAAGAAGAUCGAGGAGAACUUUGUAAUGAGAUCCAAAGAGAGAGAAGAAGCCAUCUAGCUAAUAACUAUGGACCUGAAGGUCUGCGGUAAACUACUCACACAUCAUCGGAGAGGCUACGGUGUUGAUGUAGAAGCCCUCCGUGAUCGAUUCCCCCUGCGGCGGAGCGCCGGAAAAGGCCCCAAGAUGGGAUCUCACAGGUACAGAAGGUUGCGGCGGUGGAAAUAGGGUUUCGUGGUGCUCCUGGAUGUUUUUGGGGUAUAUGGGUAUAUAUAGGAGGAAGAAGUAGGUCGGUGGAGCUGCGAGGGGCCCACGAGGGUGGGGGCGCGCCUUCCUGCCUCGUGGCCUCCUCACUUCUUUCUUGACGUCCACUCCAAGUCCUCUGGAUCACGUUUAUUCCAAAAAUAACUCUCCCGAAGGUUUCAUUCCGUUUGGACUCCGUUUGAUAUUCCUUUUCUGCGAAACACUGAAAUAGGCAAAAAAACAGCAAUUUGCACUGGGCCUUCGGUUAAUAGGUUAGUACCAAAAAUAAUAUAAAAGUGCUUAGUAAAGCCCAUUAAACAUCCAAAACAAAUAAUAUAAUAGCAUGGAACAAUAAAAAAUUAUAGAUACAUUGGAGACGUAUCAAGCAUCCCCAAGCUUAAUUCAUGGUCGUCCUCGAGUAGGUAAAUGAUAAAAACAGAAUUUUUGAUGUGGAAUGCUACCUAGCAUAUUUCUCAAUGUAAUUUCCUUUAUUGUGGCAUGAAUGUUCAGAUCCGAAAGAUCCAAGACAAAAGUUUAAUAUUGACAUGAAAAUAACAAUACUUCAAGCAUACUAACAAAGCAAUCAUGUCUUCUCAAAAUAACAUGGCCAAAGAAAGUUAUCCCUACAAAAUCAUAUAGUCUGGCUAUGCUCUAUCUUCAUCACACAAAGUAUUUAAUCAUGCACAACCCCGAUGACAAGCCAAGCAAUUGUUUCAUACUUUUGGUGUUCUCAAACUUUUUCAAUCUUCAUGCAAUACAUGAGCGUGAGCCAUGGACAUAGCACUAUAUGUGGAAUAGAAUGGUGGUUGUGGAGAAGACAAAAAGGAGAAACUAAGCGUAUCAACAGGCUAUGGAGAUGCCCAUCAAUAGUUAUCAAUGUGAGUGAGUAGGGAUUGCCAUGCAACGGAUGCACUAGAGCUAUAAGUGUAUGAAAGCUCAAAAAGAAACUAAGUGGGUGUGCAUCCAACUUGCUUGCUCACGAAGACCUAGGGCAUUUUGAGGAAGCCCAUCAUUGGAAUAUACAAGCCAAGUUCUAUAAAAAUUCCCACUAGUAUAUGAAAGUGACAACAUAGGAGACUCUCUAUUAUGAAGAUCAUGGUGCUACUUUGAAGCACAAGUGUGGCAAAAGGAUGGUAACAUUGUCCCUUCUCUCUUUUUCUCUUAAUUUUUUUAUUUGGGCCUUUUUCUCCUUUUUUAUGGCCUCUUUUUUUUCUCUUUUUUUCUUUCUUUUCGUCCGGAGUCUCAUCCCGACUUGUGGGGGAAUCAUAGUCUCCAUCAUCCUUUACUCACUUGGGACAAUGCUCUAAUAAUGAUGAUCAUCACACUUUUAUUUACUUACAACUCAAAAAUUACAACUCAAUACUUGGAACAAAAUAUGACUCUAUGUGAAUGCCUCUGGCGAUGUACCGGGAUAUGCAAUGAAUCAAGAGUGACAUGUAUGAAAGAAUUAUGAACGGUGGCUUUGCCACAAAUACGAUGUCAACUACAUGAUCAUGCAAAGCAAUAUGACAAUGAUGAAGCGUGUCAUAAUAAACGGAACGGUGGUAAGUUGCAUGGCAAUAUAACUCGGAAUGGCUAUGGAAAUACCAUAAUAGGUAGGUAGUGGCUGUUUUGAGGAAGGUAUAUGGUGGGUGUAUGAUACCGGCGAAAGGUGUGCGGUAUUAGAGAGGCUAGCAAUGGUGGAAGGGUGAGAGUGCGUAUAAUCCAUGGACUCAACAUUAGUCAUAAAGAACUCACAUAAUUAUUGAAAAAAUCUAUUAGUUAUUGAAACAAAGUACUACGUGCAUGCUCCUAGGGGGAUAGAUUGGUAGGAAAAGACCAUCGCUCAUCCCCGACCGCCACUCAUAAGGAAGACAAUCAAUAAAUAAAUCAUGCUCCGACUUCAUCACAUAACGGUUCACCAUACGUGCAUGCUACGUGAAUCACAAACUUUAGAACAAGUAUUUCUCAAAUUCACAACUACUCAACUAGCAUGACUCUAAUAUCACCAUCUUCAUAUCUCAAAACAAUUAUCAAGUAUCAAACUUCUCAUAGUAUUCAAUGCACUUUAUAUGAUAGUUUUUAUUAUACCCAUCUUGGAUGUUCAUCAUAUAAGGACUAAUUUUAUAGCCAAAGCAAACUACCAUGCUGUCCUAAAAGACUCUCAAAAUAAUAUAAGUGAAGCAGAGAGAUCAAUAAUUUCUAUGAAAUAAAACCACCACCGUGCUCUAAAAAUAUAUAAGUGAAGCACUAGAGCAAAAUUAUCUAGCUCAAAAGAUAUAAGUGAAGCACAUAGAGUAUUCUAAUAAAUUCCGAUUCAUGUGUGUCUCUCCCAAAAGGUGUGUACAGCAAGGAUGAUUGUGGUAAAAUAAAAAGCAAAGACUCAAAUCAUACAAGACGCUCCAAGCAAAACACAUAUCAUGUGGUGAAUAAAAAUAUAGCCCCAAGUAAAGUUACCGAUAGACGAAGACGAAAGAGGGGAUGCCUUCCGGGGCAUCCCCAAGAUUAGGCUUUUGGUUUCCUUGAAUUUUACCUUGGGGUGCCUUGGGCAUCCCCAAGCUUAGGCUCUUGCCACUCCUUAUUCCAUAAUCCAUCAAAUCUUUGCCCAAAACUUGAAAACUUCACAACACAAAACUCAACAGAAAAUCUUAUGAACUCCGUUAGUAUAAGAAAAGAAACCACCACUUCAAGGUACUGUAAUGAACUCAUUCUUUAUUUAUAUUGGUGUUAAACCUACUGUAUUCCAACUUCUCUAUGGUUUAUAAACUACGAUACUAGCCAUAGAUUCAUCAAAAUAAGCAAACAACACACGAAAAACAGAAUCUGUCAAAAACAGAACAGUCUGUAGCAAUCAGAUUCGUUCGAAUACUUCUGGAACUCCAAAAAUUCUGAAAAACUAGGACAACCUGGAAAGUUUGUAUAUUGAUCUACUGCAAAAAGAAUUGGUAUUUUAUCACGUUCUGGUGAAUUUUAACAAUUAUUUUCGUGAGCGCAAAGUUUCUGUCUUUUUCAGCAAGAUCAAGCAACUAUCACCCAAGAAGAUCCUAUUGGUUCUACUUGGCACAAAAACUAAUUAAAACAUGAGAACACAUCUAAACAGAGGCUAGAUGAAUUAUUUAUUACUAAACAGAACCAAAAAUCAAGAAACAAAAAUAAAAUUGGGUUGCCUCCCAACAAGCGCUAUCGUUUAACGCCCCUAGCUAGGCAUAAAGGCAAGAAUAGAUCUAGGUAUUAUCAUCUUUGGUAUGCAAUCCAUAUGUGGCUCUCAUAAUAGAUUCAUAAGGUAAUUUAAUUUAAUUUCUAGGAAAGUGUUCCAUGCCUUUCCUUAACGGAAAUUGGAAUCUAACAUUUCCUUCUUUCAUAUCAAUAAUUGCACCAAUCGUUCUAAGGAAAGGUCUACCAAGAAUAAUAGGACAUGUAGGAUUGCAAUCUAUAUCAAGAACGAUGAAAUCUACGGGCACAUAAUUCCUAUUUGCAACAAUAAGAACAUCAUUAAUCCUUCACAUAGGUUUCUUAAUGGUGGAAUCCGCAAGGUGCAACUUUAAAGAACAAUCAUCAAAUUCACGGAAACCUAAUACAUCAAACAGAGUUUUUGGAAUCGUGGAAACACUAGCACCCAAAACACUAGCACCCAAAUUCACAUAAUUUUUCUUCAAGCAAAGCAUUGAAAUUCUUUUGAGAAAUCAUAAAUUCUUUAACACUAGUCUCAAAUCAGAGGGCAUCUUAUUAAAAUUUCCAUAAGAGUUGUUGUAGGAAUUACCAUAAUUAUUAGAGGAAUUACUAGGAAACGGCCUAGGAUUAAAGUUUCCUCUAUACACGUUGUUGCCAAAAUUGUUCCUACCAAGAAAAUUCACAUCCAUAGAUUCAUUAUUAUUCUCAAUCAAAGUAGACAAAGGCAUAUCAUUAGGAUCAGAAGAAACACUCUUAUUAGCAAACAAUUUCAUAAGUUCAUCCAUCUUUCCACUCAAAACAUUAAUCUCUUCUAUCGCAUGAACCUUUUUACUGGUAGAUAUUUCGGUGUGCCAUUGAGAAUAAUUAACCAUAAUAUUAUCUAGGAGUUUAGUAGCUUCUCCUAAAGUGAUUUCCAUAAAAGUGCCUCCCGCGGCCGAAUCUAAAAGAUUUCUAGAAGCAAAAUUCAAUCCGGCAUAAAUUUUUUGUAUAAUCAUCCAUAAAUUCAAACCAUGUGUAGGGCAAUUACGUAUCAUUAAUUUAAUCCUCUCCCAAGCUUGCGCAGCAUGUUCAUGAUCAAGUUGCUUAAAAUUCAUAAUAUCGUUUCUAUGAGAGAUGAUCUUAGCGGGAGGAAAAUACUUAGAGAUAAAAGCAUCUUUGCACUUAUUCCAAGAAUCAAUACUAUUUUUAGGCAAAGACGAAAACCAAGUUUUAGAACGAUCUCUAAGCAAAAACGGAAAUAGCUUCAAUUUAACAAUAUCAUUAUCCACAUCUUUCUUCUUUUGCAUAUCACACAAAUCAACAAAGUUGUUUAGAUGGGUAGCGACAUGUUCACUAGGAAGGCCAGAGAAUUGAUCUUUCAUGACAAGAUUCAGCAAAACAACAUUAAUUUCACAAGAUUCAGCAUCGGUAAUAGGAGCAAUCGGAGUGCUAAGAAAAUCAUUGUUGUUGGUAUUGGAAAAGUCACACAAUUUAGUAUUGUCUUGAGCCAUCGUGACAAACGAUCCAACACACAAGCACACAAGAAGCAAGCGAAAAGAGACGAACGGAAAAAGAGGGUGAAUAAAACGGCAAGGGUGAAGUGGGGGAGAGGAAAACGAGAGGCAAAUGGAAAAUAAUGUAAUGCGAGAGAUAAGAGUUGUGAUGGGUACUUGGUAUGUCUUGACUUGACUUGACUUGGCGUAGAUCUCCCCGCCAACGGCGCCAGAAAUCGCUUAGUUGACGGGAGAUCAAAUCUAGACUUGACUUGGUGUAAGCCUCCUCGGCAACGGCGCCAGAAAUCCUUCUUGCCACCUCUUGAGCACUGCGUUGGUUUUCCCUUGAAGAGGAAAGGGUGAUGCAGCAAAGUAGCAUAAGUAUUUCCCUCAGUUUUUGAGAACCAAGGUAUCAAUCCAGUAGGAGACUACACGCAAGUCGCCUCGUACCUACACAAACAAAUAAGAACCUUGCAACCAACGCGAUAAAGGGGUUGUCAAUCCCUUCACGGCCACUUGCAAAAGUGAGAUCUGAUAGAGAUAAUAAGAUAAAUAUUUUUGGUAUUUCUAUGAUAUAGAUUGAAAAGUAAAGAUUGCAAAAAUAAACGGCGACAGAAAUAGCAAGUUGGCGGGAGAUUAAUAUGAUGGAAGAUAGACCCGGGGGCCAUAGGCUUCACUAGUGGCUUCUCUCAAGAUAGCAUAAGUAUUACGAUGGGUGAACAAAUUACUGUCGAGCAAUUGAUAGAAAAGUGCAUAAUUAUGAGAAUAUCUAGGCAUGAUCAUGUAUAUAGGCAUCACGUCCGCGACAAGUAGACCGAAACGAUUCUGCAUCUACUACUAUUACUCCACACAUCGACCGCUAUCCAACAUGCAUCUAGAGUAUUAAGUUCAUAAGAACAGAGUAACGCAUUAGGCAAGAUGACAUGAUGUAGAGGGAUAAACUCAAGCAAUAUGAUAUAAACCCCAUCUUUUUAUCCUCGAUGGAAACAAUACAAUAUGUGCCUUGCUGCCCCUGCUGUCACUGGGAAAAGACACCGCAUGAUUGAACCCAAAGCUAAGCACUUCUCCCAUUGCAAGAAAGAUCAAUCUAGUAGGCCAAACCAAACUGAUAAUUCGAAGAGACUUGCAAAGAUAACAAAUCAUACAUAAAAGAAUUCAGAGGAGAUUCAAAUAUUGUUCAUAGAUAAUCUUGAUCAUAAACCCACAUUUCAUCGGAUCUCGACAAACACACCGCAAAAAGAAUUACAUCGAAUAGAUCUCCAAGAAGAUCGAGGAGAACUUUGUAUUGAGAUCCAAAGAGAGAGAGGAAGCCAUCUAGCUAAUAACUAUGGACCCGAAGGUCUGUGGUAAACUACUCACACAUCAUCGGAGAGGCUAUGGUGUUGAUGUAGAAUCCCUUAGUGAUCGAUUCCCCCUCCGGCGGAGCGCCGGAAAAGGCCCCAAGAUGGGAUCUCACGGGUACAGAAGGUUGUGGCGGUGGAAAUAGGGUUUCGUGGUGCUCCUGGAUGUUUUUGGGGUAUUGGGUAUAUAUAGGAGGAAGUAGUAGGUCAGUGGAGCUGCGAGGGGCCCACGAGGGUGGGGGGCGCGCCCAGGGGGGUGGGCGCGCCUCCCUGCCUGGUGGCCUCCUCGCUUCUUUCUUGACGUCCACUCCAAGUCCUCUGGAUCACGUUUGUUCCAAAAAUAACUCUCCCGAAGGUUCCAUUCCGUUUGGACUCGUUUGAUAUUGCUUUUCUGCGAAACACUGAAAUAGGCAAAAAAAUAGCAAUUUGCACUGGGCCUUCGGUUAAUAGGUUAGUCCCAAAAGUAAUAUAAAAGUGCUUAGUAAAGCCCAUUAAACAUCCAAAACAGAUAAUAUAAUAGCAUGGAGCAAUCAAAUAUUAUAGAUACGUUGGAGACGUAUUAGGCAACAUCCUAUCAGCAAAUCUUACCUUUUCUAGCUUGCCAACCCGUACCCUUUGUUGUAGUAGCAUUUGCCAUGCGGUGUUUUAACUGGGCCGUGUUUAAUUAUUUCAGUUGUGCAAAAAUGUAUUGUUCAAGAGGGCUAUGUGAUGUUUAAGCAUGAAUUGUCCACUUCAGUUUCAUGAAUGGCUAUAUUGGUUGUUUAUAGUGAGUAGAUGCCGUGUUUAUUUGUAUUUGGUUGUUAGGUUGGUUGCAGUGAGCAUUUAUCCAGUUAUCGAGUAGAUGCCUUGUUUAUCUGUAUUUGGUUGUUAGGUUGGUUGCAGUGAGCAUUUGUCCAGUUAUCAAGCAAAUGCCUUGUUUAUCUGUAUUUGGUUGUUAGGUUGGUUGCAGUGAGCAUUUGUCCAGUCUUCAAGCAGAUGCCUUGUUUAUGUGUAUUUGCUUGUUAGGUUGGUUGCCGUGAGCAUUUGUCUAGUUUUCAAGCAUAUGCCCUGUUUAUCUGUAUUUGCUUGUUAGGUUGGUUGCAAUGAGACUUUGUUCAUUUCUUUAAUGGCUAUAUUUGGUUGUUUUACUGAUCAUUUAUGCCUUGUUUAUUUCAGUCAUACACAAUGUGAUGUUCAUUAAGUGCAAGUCGGAAUUGUGCCGCUCGAUUGCAUCAAUACCAGUUUGAACGGCUAUAUUUGGUUCCAGUUAUGCCUGGUGUAGUUAACACAUGCCCUUUAUUUCAGUUUUACACAUUUAUCUAGUGUGAUGUUUAAGCACUACCUACGUUCUAUUUAUUUUCAACAAUACCAGUUUGAAUUGCAAUAUUUGGUGGUUGUUAAGCCUAUUGUAGGUAACAUUGCCUUCCAUUUUUUAUCUGCUUUAAUAGCAUGCUGAAACCAACACAUUCAAGCUAUCAUUUGGAGAUGAUGUUGUUUACCUUUGAAAUAUUUGUUCGAUGUUAAGGCUGUUGUACUUAUCAUGCCUUUCCACUACUUAUGCAGGACAACAACGGGAGUGGCCACCAUUCUCCGCUGAGGUUAGUUUCAUCCCUCGACUUGUACUCCCCUCAUCGUUCCAUAAUGUAGUGCAUAUCGGUCCAGGCAUGGACACUUGUCAGCUUCUAAUAUUGACUUGUUGCUUGUAGGUACAUAUGCCCUUCGCUAGGAUCCACACAUCGACCUUUUUUGCGUAUGGGGCAAUGAGGUAUUCAUGAACAAGCAUCAAGUGAGGAAACUGAUAAGGAUUAUUAGCAAAAAGAUACGAACGGUGGCAAGCAAAUUAUUUGUUUAUGAUCUAUCCAACACAACAGUGAGAUGUAGGAUGGUAACUACAAACUCUAUAGCCUUCUCUUUUUACUGCCCAUAAUGAGUUGUUAGACAACAAUGUCUGAAUCUUUUUUUUGUUCGCAGUGGUUCCUGAAGCCGUUCACUCAAGAUUACCUCUCAAAGUACAUGAUUUUGGACACGCAAUGAAGGUUAAAGUAUUUCAUCCAGACUACAAUGAGCAUCGAGAAGUCCUAAUGAAGAUAGUGAAGGAUGGACGGGCAGACAUCACAAGGGGUUGGCCUAGAGUCACGUGCGCAUUACACAUGGAGGAGGGCACAAUAUGGGCAUUCUGCUUCACCUUCUCCAGCAACCAUAAUGUAUUUCGCCUCUCUCUUUACAGUCUUUAGUACAACUGUGGUUCAUCAUUAUUUACUUGGUGCUUCUGUAGUUCUUCAGUAUAUGUACAUGUGCAUCGAAUUAUGCAUUCGUGGUUGAACCUAUAUUUCUAAUAAACAUGGUUCGAUAUGAAAUAAGUGAUUGCGUACUUUCAAAUUCAAAAUAUGUGAUUUUUAAAUUUGGGAUUAAAUUAGGGAUUACCUGCACAUGGUUUGCAAAAGCGAAACAUCUGCAAUAGACGUGGAGAUCAGACACGUUUCUCGGAUCCACUACAUGUGCAAUCAGUCUCUACUGCACACAUGAUCAGCCAAGAAAAAACGUGUGCGAUUAACAACAACAUCGCACACAGUUCCUUCUUAUUAAAUGUUUGCGAAAGUCACCUUAUCACACAUGCUUGGAAAUUAUGGACCGUUUAUGAUGUUGUGCGCAUCGCAAACAUUUGGUCAUAGAAGAACGGAUGCGAUAGAUCUUCAUCCGACGCGGCUACGACAGAUGAAUCGUGUGGGAUGUAUUCAAGCUUCACAUACAGUUUUAUAGGGACAACUGUAUGCGCUCUUACAUCGAAUCGCAUACAGUCAAGGAAAAGUAAAUGUGUGUGAUUGUCUGCUUCUAUAAUCGUGAACUUUUUGUCAUGGGUCGCACAUCAUAAACGUAGCACCAUAAAAUACUGACUGUGAUGGCAAUGCGAGCACAAACGAGUUGCAAGGAUGAAGCGUUUCGGAUAUUCGAUAUAUCAGAAACAGUUUCAUAGGGACAACUGUAUGCAUCAAGGCUCCCUAUCCCUGACGGUUUCUGGGUCGUGUGGGAAGGACCCCCCCCUAUCGCACACAUUUACUUGGCGAUGGUUCAAAACGCAGUCGCGGAAAGGGAUUAAAAACCAUUUGUAUAGCACCUCAUUGUACCAGUGCAUGCAACAUCUUGGAGAUAUACUCUCCAACAUAGUCAACACGAAACACAAGAGUAGGCGUAGAGAACUAAGUCUGAACCAUGGCAUCAGACCGCUUAUAAAAGAUAGAUAAGACCUCACUAUGAGGAGACAUAAAAUAUAUCCUCGUGUGUCGAGAUAAAUCAUAUUUAAAGACAAUAUAGUAGCGAUGACCUCUUUUUGAGGCAAAGGGAGGUGGACCCCGGACAUCAGAGUGAACAAGGUCGAAAGGACACUGAGACAUAGCUAGUCUCACUAUGAGGAUAAGGUAACUGGACUUGUUUACCAAGCCGACAACCCUAACAGUCUAAAGACACAUUCCUAGAGACGGAUUCAAGAAGACCACGUUGAACUAAGGAUGAGAGAUGGAAACCACACAAGUGACCAAGGUGAUGAUGCCACUACUAAAAAGAGUGGUAGAAAAAGCAAGAAAGGCGGAGAGACUGUCGGCAGUGGCAGCGGAGGAAAGGUGACGAUGGUCAAGCUCCCAAAGGCCCUGGGAGUCAUGGCGCCGGGGGCCAGCACCAAGGAGAGCACCAGUAUGACGAUUCAGAAUAGAAUAAGAGUCAAAAUCGAGAAUGACCCUAAAACCAUAGUCAACAAUCCGACGACCAGAAAUGAGUUGCAUCGUAAGUUGUGGAACAUGAGCAACAUCGAGAAUAUGAGAAUAUGAUGUCCUGGGAUUGCCUAGGCCAUGAACCAAAAGGGAGGUACCAAUAAGAACAUGACCAUGAGAAUUGAGAGGUCGAAUAGAGCACAUAGUAGAUGAAUUAUGAGUCAUAUGAAAAGAUGCUGCGGUAUCAAGAAUCCGCGAAGAUGUACCUUCCUGUGUAGAAAGUGGUCUCACAAUGCCAGAAGAGUCGAUAGUUGAACCAACAAAAUCUGUCAGUGGGGAACCAGAGGACACAACUUGCAGGCAUCAAAGUCACAUAAUCUCCUGCUCUGUCAGGGACUCAACUGAAGGGGUCGAAGUAGAUGCACUCGACAAGGAAGAAUCUAAGUGAUUAGCAUGUCAAGGAGACACAAUCUAUUGAUUAGUGAAGGACACAAUAGAAAAUUUAUGGAGAUUUAUUUUGGAAUAUAUAAAAAAUAUUGGAAGAAAGAAGUACUAGGGAAGAACCUCGGUGGGCCCGCAAGCUAGGGAGCGCACCCUGGUGGCUUGUGGGGUCCACAGAGGCCCACUGUUGCUCAUCUUCCCCUUUCUGAAGCCAUUUGCCCCAGAAAAAAAUAAGGACCAGCCGCCACUGUCUCGAGGCGGAACCAAAGGCGGAGCACUUUUGCUCUCUGGCAGAGCAAUUCCGUCAGGGAUACUUCCCUCUAUGAGGGGGAAAUCGAAGCCAUCGUCAUCACCAACACUCCUCUCAUCAUGGGAGGACUCGUCUUCAUCAACAUCUUCACCAACACCAUCUCAUCUCAAAACCCUAGCUCAUCUCUUGUGUUCAAUCUUUGUAUCCAACCUCAGAUUGGUACCUCAGGUGCUAGUAGUGUUGAUUACAUCUUGUAGUUGAUGCUAGUUGGUUUACUUGGUGGAAGAUUAUAUGUUCAGAUUGUUAAACACAUAUUUACACCGGAAAAGGCUUUCUUCCCACUUUAUAUAUAAAGCAAACCGCCAGAGCUAACAAGUUCAACACAAAGAUCCACACCACACGACACACGGUAGCACACGAGCCAAGUACAAAGGUUAAUGCUGAGGGCACAACUCAAAAAGCCGUAAAAUAUAAAAACAACAAACAGUGGCCGCGGCAAAACACAACCAUGGUUGCAGGAGAGUCCCGAGGAUUAAUCUGGCUCGGGCGAUGGUGGGGGGAGCGGAGGAGCCAAGCGGAGCGCUAACGCCCAAAGAUCAGCGAUGGGGAUGUUGAUGGCAUCCCGGUCCGUCACAUAGCUAAGCGGCCUCCAGAGCUGCAACUAACCACACAUUUUGUAGAUAUCGUCAGAAGGCUGCCGAAGCAGAGUAGGCUGAAUCACUAGCCUAUUACAAAUCGUCCACAGAGUCCACGCAAGUACACCAAUACCCAGCCACCUAAUGCAGUGAAGCCUCAGCACAGAGGCCUGAAGUUCCUCGGAUAGGUCGGGGAAGUUGGUGUUACACUAAGACCCCCCACCUCUCAGAAACAGCUCCAUAGGAACUGUGCAGUAACGCAGACGAAGAAGAUGUAAUUGGAAUCUUCUAUGGUCUCGUAUAUCAGGCACAAUCCAUUGCUGGGGCCAUUGCAUUUAAGAAUCUCCACGCCUGAGAGCAUAGGGCCGUGGAUCCAAUGCCAAAGGAAGAUCCUAAUUUUGAGAGGCAGUCGAGGUUCAACGGCUCCGGUCCCGGGGUGGUGGCAAUGGCCUGGUAGAGUUACUUGGUUGAAAAGCAGCCAGACGAUUCAAGGCGCCAAGACAUACGGUCCUAAUCAAGGUUAGUGUCUGGCGGAUGGAGAGCGACACACUCUAGCAAUGCCACCCAAUCAUCGUGAUCCAGGGGGCCAAAGGCCCUCCAAACGCGAGGCGCCCUAAGUCAAGAAGGGCUGCCUCCAUGGAAAUAUGGGGCUCCACCGCAAUGGAGAAGAGCCCCAUAAACCUAGAAGCGAAGGGGCUAUUGCCGGCCCAAUGGUCGAACCAAAAUAAGGUCGAUGACCCAAAACCAACCGCGAACGAAGAGCCAAUGCGGAGGACCGGGAGCAGCUGGAUUAUCGAUUGCCAGAACUGGGACCCACCCACUCUUUGGCCGAAAGCGAGAGGUUUUCCAUGAAGGUAUUUGGCUCGAAUAAUAUCCAGCCACAGACAACCCUCCCUGUGGGGGAUCCGCCACAGCCAACAAGUCAGCAAAGCAAUAUUCACGCACUUGGACAACAUUAUCCUUAACCCACCCUGAUCCUUGGGUCUGCAAAUGUCAGUCCACCGCACCAUAUGAUACUUUUGCUUGUCCCCAUUGCCCGCCCAGAAAAAUCUGGACUGGUAUUUCGUUAUCUCCUGAUGCAAGGUCUCAUGCAGACUAUAAAAGCUCAUGAAAAACAUGAGGAGACUCGACAGGGAUGAAUUGAUGAGCAUCGUCCUAGCCGCCUUGGAGAGCCAUCGACCAUUCCAAGGCUCCACCCUGUGUUGGAGCUUGGCCACAUAUGGUCAAAGGUCUGCCAUAGUAAGUCGAGAAUCACUAAUGGGGAUCCCGAGGUAAGUCGUCAGGAAGGACUCCAGGGUGCAAUUCAAGCGGACGGCAAUGUCCUGAGAUUCGGCAGGUGAAUACACCAAGAUCAUGACCUCACUCUUGCUGAAGUUGAUUUGUGAGGCCCGACAUCUACUGAAAGCACAGGAGGAGGAACUUCAGGUUCGCGAUGUCAAGCGUGGAGCCCUCCACCAUGAUAAUGGUGUUGUCCACGUAUUGAAGGAGGGAGACCCCUCCCCUCCCACCAAAUGGGGUACAACCCCAGUGAUAUGGCCCGUAGCUUUGGCUUUAUCCAAGAUGUUCGCCAGAGCAUCUACCACCAUGUUGAACAGAAAGGGGAACAAAGGGUCCCCUUGUCAUACCCCACACAGGGUAGGGAAGAAGGGGCCUAUCUCCCCAUUGAUGUUCACUGCGGUCCGGCCAUGGGACACCAUCUGCAUCACCCUAGUCACCCCCCGAUCAUCGAAGCCCUUGCGGAAUAGAACUUCCGAAGGAAGGACCAAUGCACCGUAUCAUAAGCUUUAUGGAAGUCAAUCUUUAGGAAGAUCGCCUUCUGACGUUUGAAUCGGACCUUGUGGAGGAUCUCAUGAAACACCAAGACCCUGUUUAGUAUGUACCUCCCCUGGGUGAAGGUUGACUGAUUGGGAUGAGUGAUACGAUCUGCGAGAGGAGCCAGCCUAUUGGCGUACCCCUACGGAAGGAUGAAAAAGAUCAUGUUGAUAAUCAUGGUCGAGCGGAACUGGCGGAUGUCCAAGGCUCAGGGACCUUGUGAAGGAACGUAAUAAUCCUGUAGUUGAGUCAGUUGAGAUCUAGUGUGCCUACGUAAAACUCGGUGAACAUCGCCAUCACCUCGCCCUUGAUGGUGUUCCAGAAAACCUGGAAGAACUUUACCGGCAGACCAUCGGGGCCUGGAGCAGAGGACGAGUUCAUGCCUUUGAUGGUAGCCGAGACCUCCUCUUCAGAGAAGGGGGUUGUGAGGGCUGCAUUUUCUACCUCCAAGACUAACUGAGGACCCUCCCAAAAGCCAGGGGAAGGGCGACGCCUCCCCAAGGGAAGAGGCAAAAGAGGGCCUUAUAGAACUCGUCAACAUGUGACCGAAUGUUGGAUGGCUGUUGUAGGAGGUUGUCCCCAUCCCAAAGGAGAGGUAUGGUGUUGUGUCGCCUACGAGCAUUAGCAACUACCUGGAAGUAGGCAGUUGGAGGACCCAUUGUUGGGCAUCCCACUGACGCCAGUAUGCCUCCUCAUCAGCGAAUAUUGCCAUGAGUUGAUCCUCGAGACCAUACCUAAGAAACCACUCAUCAGGAGAAAGCCCGAUGAAUCCGCCUGGAUGUCUAGUGCCUAGACGGAAGCUAGGAGUGCUUUCUUAUGAUCCAGCAGAUUCCGAGCAAUGUUAGCACCCCAACACUUCAUGAAUUGGCAAGCUUGCUGGCACUGAACUGCCAGGAAUCGACAAUGGAAAGGGGCCGGUGAGGGGCUGCUCUAGCCGUGGCCCAUCACUCUCGAACCGUGUCUGUAAACCCUGGCUAGUUUAACCAAUAGGAUUCAAAACAGAAGCGUGACAGCUAGAGUUCGGUCAUUCUCGAAGGAAAGGAGAAGUAGAACAUGGUCCGAGCUAAUCCUAGUGAUGGCUCAAAGGGAUGCCAGGGGGCAUCGUGUAACGCCCCGGAUCCGUUGCGCCAGGAGUCUGCCAGUUAUUCGCCGUCCUUGCCUUGUCAUCUGCUUGCGUGUUGCUCUUUGCCAUGUCAUCAUCUGCAUUUCAUAUCAUGUCAUCAUGUGCAUCGCAUUUGCAUAUGUGUUCGUCUCUUGCAUCCGAGCAUUUUCCCCGUUGUCCGUUUUGCAAUCCGGCACUCCCAUCUCCUCCGGCGCACCCCUCUUGUUUCUUUCGUGAGCGGGUGUCAAACAUUCUCGGAAUGGACCGAGGCUUGUCAAGUGGCCUUGGUAUACCACCGGUAGACCACCGGUCAAGUUUCGUUCCAUUUGGAGGUCGUUUGGUGCUUCAACGGUUAACCGGGUAACCGCAAAGUCCGUUUGCGUGUUGCAGCAAACCCCAUCUCUAAACAGCCCCAAAACCCCUCUUAGUCUCCGCCAUGCUCUCGGUCGUUCGAUCACGAUCGCGUGGGCGAAAACCGCACCCCGUUUGGGCUCUCCUAGCUCCCUCUACCUAUAAAUAGGUGUGCCUCCCCGAAAUUCGCGCAGUCCAAACCCUAGCUUCUUCCUCCUCGCGCCACCAGACAUUUCCCCGCCGCGCCGGACAUGUCCAUCUCGCCGCCGCCGCCGCUUGCAGCCAAUCAGGAGGCGCCACAUCACCCCGCCGCCGUCUCCACCGCGCCAGGCCCGCGGGGCCCAUCCCGCCGCUGCCGCGACCCCCGUCCGCCGCCNNNNNNNNNNNNNNNNNNNNNNNNNNNNNNNNNNNNNNNNNNNNNNNNNNNNNNNNNNNNNNNNNNNNNNNNNNNNNNNNNNNNNNNNNNNNNNNNNNNNNNNNNNNNNNNNNNNNNNNNNNNNNNNNNNNNNNNNNNNNNNNNNNNNNNNNNNNNNNNNNNNNNNNNNNNNNNNNNNNNNNNNNNNNNNNNNNNNNNNNNNNNNNNNNNNNNNNNNNNNNNNNNNNNNNNNNNNNNNNNNNNNNNNNNNNNNNNNNNNNNNNNNNNNNNNNNNNNNNNNNNNNNNNNNNNNNNNNNNNNNNNNNNNNNNNNNNNNNNNNNNNNNNNNNNNNNNNNNNNNNNNNNNNNNNNNNNNNNNNNNNNNNNNNNNNNNNNNNNNNNNNNNNNNNNNNNNNNNNNNNNNNNNNNNNNNNNNNNNNNNNNNNNNNNNNNNNNNNNNNNNNNNNNNNNNNNNNNNNNNNNNNNNNNNNNNNNNNNNNNNNNNNNNNNNNNNNNNNNNNNNNNNNNNNNNNNNNNNNNNNNNNNNNNNNNNNNNNNNNNNNNNNNNNCCCGCCGACCACCGCGCCUCCCCGAGCUCUCCUCCCUCCGGCGAACAUUGGGCCCGAGCUCGAGCAGCCCCCCUUCGAUCCGAUCUGUACAGACGAGGUUGAUUUUUCUCUCCCCUCCCCCCCCGAAAUCUCCAAGUCCCCAGAUCUUCAUAAUAUGUGUGCAUGUUUGACCUAUCAUAACUCCCUGCAUAUAGCUCCGUUUCGCGUGUGUAAUAUCUUGAAUUGUUCGCCUCAUGAUGCUCUUAAUUUUCUUCCAUUGUGCCAUGUUCAUUAGAGGCCAUCUUGAUGCCCAAAUCAUCAUUGCAAGAGUGCUAGUUGCUGUUAUCUGCUGUUACUUAUCAGAACUUGGAGAUUUGUUAUUUUUGUAUCAUUUAAUCUGUGCAUCUUAUGAGCAUGAGCUCUACAUGUGUUUUGUUGUAUGCCAUGCCAUCUUUCCAGUGGUGUAUGCUAUGGAUUUUUGUGAUCUCUGUGGUGACUAGCACAAGCAUGCAAACUAGGCCCCAUAAUGUUUCUGAUUUCAGAGACUUAGUAAUUUCUCCAAGUCUUUGUCUGCUGUUAUUUUGUUGCCAUGUAAACUUGAUGCUACAGAGAGAUCCAUGCAUAUUUUGGAGAUGUUCAGUAAGGAUGUUUUGUAGAUAUUGUUGUAAUUGAUCCAUUCCUGCCCUUUUUUACAAUUAUUGAGUGCCAUAGCAUGACUCAAUCUUGCUCUACUUUCGCUAUAAAAUAUUCCUGGCAGAUUGUUUACGUGUUAUUCAAUUUUGCCAAGCUUGUUGUAGUUGAUCCAUUCAUGCUAUGUAUUUGUUCUUGCCAUGGAUAGCUUCAUAAACAUGCCAUCUUGCUGUAGGUAUGCUUGUUUUAUCAUUCAUUGCUUUGUGGUGAGUGCACAAGCUCACCAAGAUGCCCUCAUAAUGACUGUUUCUGCCAUGCUCUGUUUUCUGCUAAGUCUGAAACCUGAUAACGGAACUUGCUAUGUUUACAUGGUUGCCAUCAUAUCUUAGGGUCCUUUUUGGCUUAUGAUCAGUAAGGGACUUUUGUCACAUGCAUUCAGUAGAAUACUUCCAUGCCUUCGUUUGCCAUGUUGAGUUCCUGUAGCAUGUUGAUUUCGUGCUCUGAACAUUGCUACCUGAUGUUAUUUCUGUCAUGUCCAGUAAUUUCACUAAGUCUGGGAAUCUGUUAUUAUUUGCAUUAUUGCCAUGCCCUUUUGAGCAUGUUCUAGUGAUUUAUGGGGAUAGCUCAAUGUUCAUGUUUUGUUGUGCUUUACCUGUACAUCAUGUCCAUGCCUUGUGUUUUCAUGAUGGGGUGCUUUAGCAUGUUGUUUUGGUGCUUGCAAGAUGCCUAGUUGCUGUUAUGAACAGUAUGUUGCUAUAUAUUGUUUGGAGUGUAUGUGUUGCACCGUUGCUCCGUUUUGAGCAUGCUCUAUAUGAAACUUGCUUAGUUUUUCAUGUAGUUUCAUAUUAUCAUGUUGCAUCCUUGUUUUGAGGUGUUUGCUUGAUGAUUAUAUGCAUUUUGCAUCCAUGCUAUGUUUAUCUUGUUUUGCUCAUAUCUUUUAGGCCGUAACUCCGAAUCUAACGAACUUUAUAUGUAACUUGACUAGAUUUUCGUGUAGAUCAUCUUGGUGCUCUUUAACUUUCUGUUUAAAAACUUGAAUAUAAGGUUUAUUCAGUUCUGGACCAAUUUCGAAAUUGGCAUAUGAGGACUUACCGGAAUUGUUAUGGGUGGUUUCCGGCCUCAUUUAAACUUGCUUUGAUGUGUUGGUCUUGUAUGCAUCAUCUCUUGUCGUGAGUAGCUUCAUAUAGCAUUGUCAUGCAUCAUUCUUGAUUGAGCAUCAUGCCUUGUUCAUGUGUGGUGUGUUUACCAUGUUGUGUGCUUCUUCUCGAUAGUUCCCGUGUCGUUGUGAUCGUGAGGAUUCGUUCGUCUUCGUGGCUUCAUCUUAUUCAUGGACUCGUUCUUCUUCCUAGCGGGAUUUCAGGGAAGAUGACCGUCACCUUGGAUCUCAUUACUAUCAUUGCUAUGCUAGUUGCUUCGUUCUAUCGCUAUGCUGCGCUACCUAUUCACUUGCUCUUCAAGCCUCCCAAAUUGCCAUGAACCUCUAACCUUUGUCACCCCUCCUAGCAAACCGUUGUUUGGCUAUGUUACCGCUUUGCUCAGCCCCUCUUAUAGCGUUGCUAGUUGCAGGUGAAGAUGAAGAUUGCUCCAUGUUGGAUUAUGUUUAUGUUGGGAUAUCACAAUAUCUCUUAUAUUAUUAAUGCAUCUAUAUACUUGGUAAAGGGUGGAAGGCUCGGCCUUAUGCCUGGUGUUUUGUUCCACUCUUGCCGCCCUAGUUGCCGUCAUACCGGUGUUAUGUUCCCGGAUUUUGCGUUCCUUACACGGUUGGGUGAUUUAUGGGACCCCCUUGACAGUUCGCUUUGAAUAAAACUCUUUCAGCAAGGCCCAACCUUGGUUUUACCAUUUGCCUAGCCUAUUUCCUUUCCCUGGGGAGUCGCUCUCUCUCGGGUCAUCUUUAUUUAGCCCCCCCGGGCCAAUGCUUGUCUAAGUGUUGGUCCGAACUAGAGCCCCUUGCAGCGCCACCUCGGGGAAACUUGAGGUCUGGUUUUAGUUGUACGUAGUGCUCAUCCGGUGUUGCCCUGAGAACGAGAUAUGUGCAGCUCCUAUCGGGAUGUCGGCGCAUCGGGCGGUCUUGCUGGUCUUGUUUUACCAUUGUCGAAAUGUCUUGUAACCGGGAUUCCGAGACUGAUCGGGUCUUCCCGGGAGAAGGAAUAUCCUUCGUUGACCGUGAGAGCUUAUAAUGGGCUAAGUUGGGACACCCCUGCAGGGUAUUAUCUUUCGGAAGCCGUGCCCGCGGUUAUGUGGCAGAUGGGAAUUUGUUAAUAUCCAGUUGUAGAAAACUUGACACUUGACCUUAAUUAAAACGCAUCAAUCGCGUGUGUAGCCGUGAUGGUCUCUUCUCGGCGGAGUCCGGGAAGUGAACAUGGUUUCUGGGUUAUGUUUGACGUAAGUAGGAGUUCAGGAUCACUUCUUGAUCAUUGCUAGUUCACGACCGUUCCUUUGCUUCUCUUCUCGCUCUUAUUUGCGUAAGUUAGCCACCAUACAUGCUUAGUCGCUGCUGCAACCUCACCACUUUACCCCUUCCUUACCCAUUUAGCUUUGCUAGUCUUGAUACCCAUGGUAAUGGGAUUGCUGAGUCCUCGUGGCUCACAGAUUACUACACCACCAGUUGCAGGUACAGGUUUUACGAUGAUCAUGACGCGAGAGCGAUGUUUACUUGUUUUGGAGUUCUUCUUCUGCUUCUUCUUCGAUCAGGGGAUAGGUUCCAGGUCGGCAGCCUGGGCUAGCAGGGUGGAUGUCGUUUGAGUUUCUGUUUAUGUUUCAUCCGUAGUCGGAUGUUGAUCUUAUGUAUGAUGUAUUGAUGUACUCUUGCGGCAUGUGUAUGCCCUGUAUGUAUCCCCAAAUAUUAUGUAAUGUUGAUGUAAUGAUAUCCACCUUGCAAAGCGUCUUCAAGAUGCGCUUCUAUCCUUGGUGGGAACUUCGUGUUCCUUUAGGAUAGGGUCGCAUCUUGGGCGUGAUACAUCGCAACUCCCACACUGGAGAGACGAAGACGAGAUCCAGCACCUACCGAGUCGGAUCGGCCUGCUUAUUGGUCCAGGUGAACCUGGCACCAAUCCACUCCAAUUCCUGGAGCCCGAGGUCGGCGAUGCAGUCAUUGAACAUCUGCACACAUGGUAGGCUGACCCGAUUAUUACUCUUAUACUCCGGAGUACGAAUGAGGUUGAAGUCACCGUUGUUUGAGUUGACUGUUUUUUAUAUGUAAAAACACUUUUUGAUGAUGUAAAUUUUACUACAACUAAUUUUUGGUGAUGUAUUUUACAUCAUCUAUCCUCUAAGCACUGGCACAGCGGAUCCUACCAACCUGAUCAUCUAUCCUCUGAGCAUCUCUAGCAGACCCCUUAUAUCGCGGACCCUUAUAGUGCAUUUAUAGUUCGCGAAAAACGUGUUUUGCGGGCUGGCGCGGGCUACGGCCGAACAGACCCCGCAUAGCGGGAUCUGUUUUACAGUUCCGCUAUGCAGGAUCUGUUCGUCCGCAGCCCGCAAAACACAUGGUUUUUUCUGAAUUUGACACUUGUCUCACAUAUUGCACAGAAUUAUGAAUUCAAUAUAAGGUAAAAAUGAUAAUAUUAUGAAUCCAAAUUACAAUAAUUAUUCAAAUCACCAAAUUAAACUAAUAAUUCAAUAAAAGAAUUGUCCCGAAUGCAACAAUGAUCCAAUGAUACAAUUCACACAUUAAUUGAAUGAAAUGAAUGUAAAAUUGUUCGGUUUUACCGCCCAUGCCUUUGCCAAUGGUGCCCAAUGAGAUCCUCCUAAAGCUGAUAGUGGGUGUUUGCGUCUUCAAUCUGCCAGUAUGUUUGAAGGAAUGCUUGUAUGUGGUCAGGGUCUCUAGCUGGCUUCACACGGCUACCGACAUUGUGUUCCUGAGAUGGUGGCUAUCGACAUUGUGUUCCCAAUGGUGCUCAAUAAAAACCGACAUUGUGUUCCCAAUGGUGCUCAAUAAAAACCGACAUUGUGUUCCCAAUGGUGCUCAAUAAAAACCGAGAAUUGGCCUCCCAAGCUUGCACUAUUUUGACGAAGAGGGAUUGGCGCAUCCGGUACCUUUUCCAGAAGAGGUGCGGCGGAUAGGUAGGAUUGUCCGCGAAGUAGUCUUGCAUCAACAUCGUGUUCCCGAGAUGGCAGUUGCGAGGGAAGCAAAGACGGCCGACGAUCAAUCCUCGCCGUCUCUUGCGGUUCCGAUACUCGAGCUCCUUCACGGCUAGGACCGCCACCACCAUCUGCUGCCGAUGGCGCUCGAGCAUCGACUCUACGUCCGAGUCGUCGGACUAGGACGAAUCUUUGAGCAAAAAUUCCUCACUAGGGCUCAAAUCCAUCUGCAAAAUCGCACCCGAGCUUGCAUGAAUGGAAAUUUAUCUUCUGCGGUCGAUCUAGAAGGGGCAGAAAAGGGGGCUCACCGGCUGCGGGUCUAUUCGGGGCGGCGGCGACCCGGGGGCGGCUCGACUCGACGGAUCCGGGGCACCGACGAAACGGCAUGGUGGACCCGGGUCUAGUGCGGCCCAAUGACAUGAUUCCGUCGACAGAAAUGGACGAAAUUGUAGGCGGCGGGCGGGCGGCGAUGGUGCCGGGCGGCUGCAGGAUGGGGGUGGGGAACGCACGCUGAAAUGUCCCUCUCACCAACAGGUCUCGCGAGAUACAGGGCACUGACGAGGCGGGGGGACUGGGUUUUCGUGAGUCGAAAGGGGCAAUUUACCAUGCCCUUGAAAAUUAUUUAAGGGUCGGACGCGUUUACGGUGUCUGUUCGGGCCGCUUUAUUCGUGCCAACUCAUAAACUGGCGGUUAUUUUGCGGGUCGGCGCAAUAUAAGGGCAUUUCUAACCGAUCCCCUAUAACCGAUUAGUGGAGUAAAAUUUCGAUUUUACUCCACUAACCGGCACCUAGCCGAUCCCCCAUCCACGGUUAGUGGAGCAUAUUUUUACUCCGGUCCCAAAUAUUUCCCAAUUUUGACUCCACGAUUGGCGGCCGAGUAAAACGUUGCGCCUCUCUCUCUCGCGUCCGUGUCGUCACCGCAUCUUCACGGGCGCCCUCCCGCCGGAAAAAUAAGAGAAGAAGUUUCAUCAUUUUUUAUGAUACGGAGCCGCCACCACCUCUUGUUCUUCAUUGGGAAGCUAGAUCUAGAGUCCGUUCAGGGCUCCGGGGAGGGGGAUUCGUGGCCAUCAGCAUCACCAACCCUUCUUCAUCACCAAUUUCAUGAUGCUCACCACCGGGAAUGAGUAAUUCCUUCGUAGGCUUGCUGGACGGUGAUGCGGUUGGAUGAGAUUUAUCAUGUUAUCGAGUCAAUCUGUUAGGGCUUGAUCCCUAGUAUCCACUAUGUUCUGAGAUUAAUGUUGCUACGACUUUGCUAUGCUUAAUGCUUGUCACUAGGGCCCGAGUGCCAUGAUUUCAGAUCUGAACCCUUUAUGUCUUCAUGAAUAUAUUUGAGUUCUUGAUCAUAUCUUGCAAGUUAUACGCACCUAUUACGUGUUAUGAUCCGCAUACCCCAAGGUGACAAUGAUUGGGAUUAUUUUCAGUGAUUACCGUAGUUUGAAGAGUUCAUGUAUUCACUAUGUGUUAAUGUUUUGUUCCAGUUCUCUAUUAAAAGGAGGCCUUAAUAUCCCUUAGUUUCCUUAUGGACCCCGCUGCCACGGGAGGGUAGGACAAAAGAUGUCAUGCAAGUUCUUAUUAUAAGCAUGUAUGACUAUAUACGAAAUACAUGCCUACAUGACAUUGAUGAAUUUGAGCUAGUUCUAUGUCGCUCUAGGUUGUGACUGUUAUAUGAUGAAUGUCAUCCAACACAAUUAUCCAUCACUGAUCCAAUGCCUACGCUUUUCAUAUAUUGAUCUUUGCUAAGUUACUACUAAUGUUGCUACUGUUACAAUUGCUACAAAACUGCUACUGCUACUAUUACCAUUACUGCUGCUAUCGUUAUUACAGCUAUCAAACUAUCAUAUUACUGUGCUACUGAUCACUCUGCUGCAGAUAUUUAGUUCUCCAGGUAUGGUUGAAUUGACAACUCAACUGCUAAUACUUGCAGAUAUUCUUUGGCUCCCCUUGUGUCGAAUCAAUAAAUUUGGGUUGAAUACUCUACCCUCGAAAACUAUUGUGAUCCCCUAUACUUGUGGGUUAUCAGUCACCCGUUGCUCGUCGAUUCGUUCUAAACCACGCCGGUCGGCUUUUGCACCACCACUGCACCCCAAGUGUUUGAAGAAUUGCCUAGGUGAGUUUUUUGUUUGUUUCUCUUUGAACCCAGCCGUUUGGAUUGAACUGAACCGUUUGGAUUGUAGAUGAAGAGGUUGAGGGACAUGGCGUUGGAGGACUCGUUGUCAUCCGAAGAGGAGGAAGAAGACGACGACGACUUUGACACCGUUUUAUGCAUGAUUUUCCAUGAUGAUGUUUGGCGGCCGAGGAGAGGAUCACAAUUUGGCAGCAUACACAUCAACCGUGAUAGAGCGGAGAGUCAUGCCAAGAUCAUGAAAGAUUACUUUGAUCCAAACCCAACCUAUCCGGAGAAGUACUUUCGCCGGCGCUUUCGGAUGCACACAUGUCUUUUUCUGACCAUUGUAAAAGCCGUUGAGAGAUACGAUGAGUGGUUCAAGCUCCGGAGAAAUGCAUCUGGAGAGAUCAGUGCAAGCCCUCUGAUGAAAUGCAUUGCGACUAUUCGAGUCUUGGCAUAUGGGUGUUCUGCCGAUGCAAUUGAUGACUAUGUACGCAUUGACGAAGACAUAAUCUUGGAGGUUGUUUGAAAAUUCACCAAAGCAGUGGUCGCUAUCUUUGGCCCGGAGCACUUGAGAGCACCAACCGAGGAAGACACCCAGAGGCUGAUGAUUGAGAGUGAAGCAAGAGGAUGGCCAGGGAUGCUUGGAUCACUUGACUAUAUGCACUAGAGAUGGAAGAAUUAUCCUGCGGGUUGGAAGGGUCAGUACAAAGGCCACAUUAACGAUCCAACUAUCAUUCUUGAGGCAGUUGCAUCGAAGGAUCUUCAUUCUUUGGUCUGCCUGAAUCUCAUAAUGACUUGAAUGUGCUACCGAGAUUACCUCUGUUUUACAGGCUUAUACAAGGUGAAGCUCCCCCUUGCGACUACUCGGUCAACGGGCAAAACUACUCGAUGGGUUACUACCUUGCGGAUGGCAUCUAUCCAUCAUGGGCCACCUUGGUCAAAACAAUUCCGCGUUCGCAAGAAAAACACUCACCCAAUGUCAAAAAGCUGCAAGGAAAGAUGUGGAAAGAGGCUUCGGUGUGCUUCAUAAGCGCUUUGCAAUUGUUCGUGGCCUUGCCGAGUACUGGAACUCCAAGGUUCUAUGGCGAAUCAUGACUUGUUGCAUCAUAUUGCAUAACAUGAUCAUUGAAGACGAGAGAGAGAUGUGUGAGAACUUUCGAUACAUCACCAACGGGACUCUGGUUGAGUCAGAGUAUAAUACAAACAGGAUCUUGACAUUCCUUGAGGAGCAUCGCAAGAUCAAGAACCGUCAAGUUCAUACCCAGCUCCAACAAGAUCUUGUUGACCAUCAUUGGCAACGUCUAAGCGAGUCCUAAUUGUUCUAUGAACCAUUUGGCGUGUUUAAAUUCGGUUUGUAAACUUUGAAUUCGAUUGGUAAACUAUAUUUGUAAUUUGGUUGAACAUUCAAAUUUAUGCUUAGUUUCUAUAUGUGUGCUAAUGUGUAGUUGCAAUUUAUACUAAAAUCGCAAGGUUUAGAAAAACAAUUUUUUUUCGUUAUAUUUAAGGAAUCAACUAGGUCGGGCCAAAACUUAGUAUACUCAACUGAGCCUUUUCUUUCACUAAAUUUUAGUGGAUCGGUUAAAGUGGCCUAAGGUCUGGUAGAGAUGCUCACCGGCACGGCGGAUCCUACCAACCAUGCUGCCCCCGCCGCGAAACACUCGAACCUGCCCAUCCCACGCCGGCGACCGCACCACACUUCCGAUGCCGCCACCCGCGCCUAGUCCGGACCCGUACCGCGACUGGGCCGACCUGCCGGAGCUGCCGCUGGCGGAGGUGCUCCGCCGCCUCCUUCCCUGCAUCCGCUCGCUCUACGCCUUCGCGGGGACGUGCCGCCCCUGGCGACACCUGCUCCGCGCCUCCGCCGCCGAUCUCGUCCGCCCCCGCGUCCCGCCGCUCCUCCUCCUCUGCCCCGACUUCCGCCUGGUGCCCUUCUCCCCGCUCGUCGCCCCCCAACCCCUCUCCUACCCCAUCCCCGCCCCGGCGGACGGCGCCACGCUCCUCUCCGCCUCACGCGGCCACCUAAUCCUCCUCCGCCGGGGCUCCUUCAAUAGCCUACACCUCGUGGACGCCCUCACCGGCGCCGAGCGCCGCGCGCUCCAGCUCCCUUCCCCGCACUUCCCCUAUCACUACGCCGCGCUCACGCCCUCCCACCUCCUGCUCUUCCACUCCAUGCACGCCUUCUUCUCGCUCCCCUUCCCCGAGCAUCCAAGCCCCAACAACAACAACGCCCGCCCCGACUGGACCAAGCACGCCCUCCCCCGCGCCGCCUCCAUCGUCACGACCGUCAUCGAAUUCCGCGGGCGCGUCCUCGGUCUGACCGACCGCGCGCAGAUACUGGAGUUCCACCUUGGUGGCGCCCCUUCGAACCAGGCCGUCCGAUUGCUGCCAACCACCGGCCUCCCGGACGCCACCAGAUUCGACAGAUUGCAGUUCGGGCCGCAUUUGGUUGCUGCCGGGGAUCGACUGCUGCUGGUGCUCUUCAUGUUUGAAGCAAACUUGGGCCCCGUGGUGUUCCGUGCGCCCAGGGUGAACAAGAUCGGUGUGUACGCGCUUGAUUUGGCGCGCAUGAUGUGGGAGGAAGUGGACAACAUUGGGGCUUACACCUUGUUCGUGGACAUUGCCGGGAGGAGCACCGUGGCCUGUGUGGACGUGGGCAACUGCGGAGUGGAGGAGAACCGAGUUUAUGUUGGCGUGCCCAACUGCCGUGCCUGGAGGAGGCCACUACCACCAGGGUGGGAGGCAUCACCCAACGGUGAAGGGCUUGGAUUGAACUCGAGGGAGACGAUGGCGCGCCGACCAUUGGCAUCACCGAUAUCGGUUCAUCCACCUCUUUUCUUUUGAUGAUUGUAGCGAAAUAAGUCACUGUUUCUACCUGGAACAGCUGUCUACAUUCAGUUACUUAUUGUAAUGUCAAUACUGAGCCUAUUGUUACUUUGUGGCAUUUCAUAUGGAAAUGCUCGCAUUACGGAUUAAUCAUGCUAUUGAUGUGAAUAUUUGUGCUUGUGCUGUUCUGUUAUUUGGAGAUAUCUAUGUGCAUCUCUCUUAAGAUUGCGCGGCCUGCAACUUCUCGAACUUACACACUGAGCAUCAUAUGAUGAAAAUUCACCUUGGCUUGCCAAUUGUUGCACUGUACUGUCAAAAUUUAUAUGGUUUGCAUCGAAAACUGCUCUUUAAUCUACUAGUUACUAGCUACAUGAAGCUGGCCAUUUUCUGUUCUGAAGCUCCCUUCAUUGUUUUUGGUUAGUGGAGUACUUGACUGAAAGUCUAUUUCGUUGAAUUUUGGCUGAGAAAGUGGUAGCAGCAUGUACCUUUUAUAAGAUCAUAACUGACAUAACUUAGGUUCUUAACCAUUAUCUUGUCAUUAGUCAUUACAAAUUGAUAGUGAAUGAUCCUCUACUUCUAAUUAUUCUCAGUUUCACAUCCGCGGUUCCACACAGUAGGCUUUAUGAAUUCUUUCUUGAAAGUAGCACAAUGUACCUUUUCCAUAAUAAUGACAUGAUUGUUAUGCCUUAAGUUUGUAACCAUUCCUGUUAUCACGCAUGAUACGUUUGUUAGUGGAUGAUUAAUGACUACUGUGUUAUCAGCGUCAGAUAUACAGUUCCACACACAGGGUGAUUUGCUAGAACACUGUACCGAAUAGUCCACAUGUUCUCAUAAUUUGUCACAAUUCUUUCUACAAAUCCUUUUCAAAUUUCUUAAAUGGCCUUUUAUGAAUGUUAGUCGUGAUCAGCAUGUGACGCCCCCGAUUUGACCGUACACUAAUCAUGCACGCAAACGUGUACGAUCAAGAUCAGGGACUCACGGGAAGAUAUCACAACACAACUCUACAACAUAAAUAAGUCAUACAAGCAUCAUAAUACAAGCCAGGGGCCUCGAGGGCUCGAAUACAAGUGCUCGAUCAUAGACGAGUCAGCGGAAGCAACAAUAUCUGAGUACAGACAUAAGUUAAACAAGUUUGCCUUAAGAAGGCUAGCACAAACUGGGAUACAGAUCGAAAGAGGCGCAGGCCUCCUGCCUGGGAUCCUCCUAACUACUCCUGGUCGUCGUCAGCGGGCUGCACGUAGUAGUAGGCACCUCCAGUGUCGUAGGAGUCGUCGUCGACGGUGGCGUCUGGCUCCUGGACUCCAGCAUCUGGUUGCGACAACCAGGUAGAAAGGAAAGGGGGAAAAGAGGGAGAGAAGCAACUGUGAGUACUCAUCCAAAGUACUCGCAAGUAAGGAGCUACACUACAUAUGCAUGGGUAUAUGUGUAAAGGACCAUAUCAGUGGACUGAACUGCAAAAUGCCAGAUUAAGAGGGGGAUAGCUAGUCCUGUCGAAGACUACGCUUCUGGCAGCCUCCAUCUUGCAGCAUGUAGAAGAGAGUAGAUUGAAGUCCUCCAAGUAGCAUCACAUAGCAUAAACUGUUGGAAAUAUGCCCUAGAGACAAUAAUAAAAUGGUUAUUAUUAUAUUUCCUUGUUCAUGAUAAUUGUCUAUUGUUCAUGCUAUAAUUGUGUUAUCCGGAAAUCGUAAUACAUGUGUGAAUACAUAGACCACAACGUGUCCCUAGUAAGCCUCUAGUUGACUAGCUCGUUGAUCAACAGAUAGUCAUGGUUUCCUGACUAUGGACAUUGGAUGUCAUUGAUAACGGGAUCACAUCAUUAGGAGAAUGAUGUGAUGGACAAGACCCAAUCCUAAGCAUAGCACAAAGAUCGUGUAGUUCGUUUGCUAGAGCUUUUCCAAUGUCAAGUAUCAUUUCCUUAGACCAUGAGAUCGUGUAACUCCCGGAUGCCGUAGGAGUGCUUUGGGUGUACCAAGCGUCACAACGUAACUGGGUGACUAUAAAGGUACACUACAGGUAUCUCUGAAAGUGUCUGUUGGGUUGACAAGGAUCGAGACUGGGAUUUGUCACUCCGUAUGACGGAGAGGUAUCUCUGGGCCCACUUGGUAAUGCAUCAUCAUAAUGAGCUCAAUGUGACUAAGGAGUUAGCCACGAGAUCAUGCAUUACGGUACGAGUAAAGAGACUUGUCGGUAACGAGAUUGAACAAGGUAUUGGGAUAUCGACGAUCGAAUCUCGGGCAAGUAACAUACCGAUUGACAAAGGGAAUUGUAUACGGGAUUGAUUGAAUCCUCGACAUCGUGGUUCAUCCGAUGAGGUCAUCGUGGAACAUGUGGGAGCCAACAUGGGUAUCCAGAUCCCGCUGUUGGUUAUUGACCGGAGGGUUGUCUCGGUCAUGUCUGCAUGUCUCCCGAACCCGUAGGGUCUACACACUUAAGGUUCGGUGACGCUAGGGUUGUAGAGAUAUUAGUAUGCGGAAACCCGAAAGCUGUUCGGAGUCCAGGAUGAGAUCCCAGACGUCACGAGGAGUUCCGGAAUGGUCCGGAGGUGAAGAAUUAUAUAUAGGAAGUCCAGUUUCGGCCACCGGGAGAGUUUCAGGGGUUAUCGGUAUUGUACCGGGACCACCGGAAGGGUCCCGGGGGUCCACCGGGUGGGGCCACCUAUCCCGGAGGGCCCCAUGGGCUGAAGUGGGAGGGGAACCAGCCCCUGGUGGGCUGGUGCGCCCCCCAUGGGCCUCCCCUGCGCCUAGGGUUGGAAACCCUGGGGGUGGGGGGCGCCCCACUUGGCUUGGGGGGCAAGCCACCCCCUUGGCCGCCGCCGCCCCCCCUCAGAUGGGAUCUCCAAGGGGCCGGCGCCCCCCCAGGACCCCUAUAUAUAGUGGGGGGAGGGAGGGCAGCAGUACCCUAGCCCCUGGCGCCUCCCUCUCCCUCCCAUGACACCUCUCCCUCCCGUUUGCGCUUGGCGAAGCCCUGCCGGGAUCCCCGCUACUUCCACCACCACGCCGUCGUGCUGCUGGAUCUCCAUCAACCUCUCCUUCCCCCUUGCUGGAUCAAGGAGGAGACGUCGCUGCUCUGUACGUGUGUUGAACGCGGAGGUGCCGUCCGUUCGGCGCUCGGUCAUCGGUGAUUUGGAUCACAACGAGUACGACUCCAUCAACCCCGUUCACUUGAACGCUUCCGCUCGCGAUCUACAAGGGUAUGUAGAUGCAUUCCUUCCCUACCGUUGCUAGUAAACUCCAUAGAUGGAUCUUGGUGAUGCGUAGAAAAUUUUAAAUUUAUGCUACGAUCCCCAACUGUGGCAUCAUGAGCCAGGCCUAUGCGUAGUUUCAAUGCACGAGUAGAACACAAACUUGUUGUGGGCGUAGAUGUUAUCAAUUUCCUUGCCACUACUAGUCUUAUCUUGUUUCGGCGGCAUUGUGGGAUGAAGCGGCCCGGACCGACCUUACACGUACGCUUACGUGAGACAGGUUCCACCGACUGACAUGCACUAGUUGCAUAAGGUGGCUAGCGGGUGUUUGUCUCUCCUACUUUAGUCGGAACGGAUUCGAUGAAAAGGGUCCUUAUGAAGGGUAAAUAGAAAUUGGCAUAUCACGUUGUGGUUUUACGUAGGUAAGAAACGUUCUUGCUAGAAACCUAUAGAAGGCACGUAAAAACUUGCAACAACAAUUAGAGGACGUCUAACUUGUUUUUUGCAGCAUAUGGCUUGUGAUGUGAUAUGGCCAAAAGGAUGUGAUGAAUGAGAUAUAUGUGAUGUAUGAGAUUGAUCAUGUUCUUGUAAUAGGAAUCACGACUUGCAUGUCGAUGAGUAUGACAACCGGCAGGAGCCAUAGGAGUUGUCUUUAUUUUUUGUAUGACCUGCGUGUCAUUGAAUUACGCCAUGUAAAUUACUUUACUUUAUUGCUAAACACGUUAGCCAUAGAAGUAGAAGUAAUCGUUGGCGUGACAACUUCAUGAAGACACGAUGAUGGAGAUCAUGAUGAUGGAGAUCAUGGUGUCAUGCCGGUGACAAAGAUGAUCAUGGCGCCCCGAAGAUGGAGAUCAAAGGAGCAAAAUGAUAUUGGCCAUAUCAUGUCACUAUUUGAUUGCAUGUGAUGUUUAUCAUGUUUUACAUCUUAUUUGCUUAGAACGACGGUAGUAAGUAAGAUGAUCCCUUAUAAUAAUUUCAAGAAAGUGUUCCCCCUAACUGUGCACCGUUGCGAAGGUUCGUUGUUUCGAAGCACCACGUGAUGAUCGGGUGUGAUAGAUUCUAACGUUCGCAUACAACGGGUGUUGACGACCCUAGCAUGUACAGAUAUGGCCUCAGAACACACGCAAUACACUUAGGUUGACUUGACGAGCCUAGCAUGUACAGACAUGGCCUCGGAACACGGAAGACCGAAAGGUCGAGCAUGAGUCGUAUAGAAGAUACGAUCAACAUGAAGAUGUUCACCGAUGUUGACUAGUCCGUCUCACGUGAUGAUCGGACACGGCCUAGUUAACUCGGAUCAUGUUUCACUUAGAUGACUAGAGGGAUGUCUAUCUGAGUGGGAGUUCAUUGAAUAAUUUGAUUAGAUGAACUUAAUUAUCAUGAACUUAGUCUAAAAUCUUUACAAUAUGUCUUGUAGAUCAAAUGGCCCACGUUGCUCUCAACUUCAACGCGUUCCUAGAGAAAACCAAGCUGAAAGAUGAUGGCAGCAACUAUACAGACUGGGUCCGGAACCUGAGGAUCAUCCUCAUAGCUGCCAAGAAAGAUUAUGUCCUAGAAGCACCGCUAGGUGACGCACCCAUCCCAGAGAAUCAAGACGUUAUGAACGCUUGGCAAUCACGUGCUGAUGAUUACUCCCUCGUUCAGUGCGGCAUGCUUUACAGCUUAGAACUGGGGCUCCAAAAGCGUUUUGAGAAACACGGAGCAUAUGAGAUGUUCGAAGAGCUGAAAAUGGUUUUCCAAGCUCAUGCCCGAGUCGAGAGAUAUGAAGUCUCCGACAAGUUCUUCAGUUGUAAAAUGGAGGAAAAUAGUUCUGUCAGUGAGCACAUACUCAAAAUGUCUGGGUUACACAACUGCUUGUCUCAGCUGGGAGUUAAUCUCCCGGAUGACGCGGUCAUUGACAGAAUCCUUCAGUCGCUUCCACCGAGCUACAAGAGCUUUGUGAUGAACUUCAAUAUGCAGGGGAUGGAAAAGACCAUUCCUGAGGUAUAUUCAAUGCUGAAAUCAGCGGAGGUGGAGAUCAAAAAGGAACAUCAAGUGUUGAUGGUGAAUAAAAGACUAAGUUCAAGAAAGGCAAGGGUAAGAAGAACUUCAAGAAAGACGGCAAGGGAGUUGCCGCGCCCGGUAAGCCAGUUGCCGGGAAGAAGCCAAGGAAUGGACCCAAGCCUGAGACUGAGUGCUUUUAUUGCAAGGGAAGUGGUCACUGGAAGCGGAACUGCCCCAAAUACUUAGCAGACAAGAAGGCCGGCAACACCAAAGGUAUAUGUGAUAUACAUGUAAUUGAUGUGUACCUUACCAGUACUCGUAGUAGCUCCUGGGUAUUUGAUACCGGUGCGGUUUCUCAUAUUUGUAACUCAAAACAGGAGCUGCGGAACAAACGGAGACUGACGAAGGACGAGGUGACGAUGCGCGUCGGGAAUGGUUCCAAGGUCGAUGUGAUUGCCGUCGGCACGCUACCUCUGCAUUUACCUACGGGAUUAGUUUUAAACCUCAAUAAUUGUUAUUUAGUGCCAGCUUUGAGCAUGAACAUUGUAUCAGGAUCUCGUUUAAUUCGAGAUGGCUACUCAUAUAAAUCCGAGAAUAAUGGUUGUUCCAUUUAUAUGAGAGAUAUGUUUUAUGGUCAUGCCCCGCUGGUCAAUGGUUUAUUCUUAAUGAAUCUCGAACGUGAUGUUACACAUAUUCAUAGUGUGAAUACCAAAAGAUGUAAAGUUGAUAACGAUAGUCCCACAUACUUGUGGCACUGCCGCCUUGGUCACAUUGGUGUCAAGCGCAUGAAGAAGCUCCAUGCAGAUGGACUUUUGGAGUCUCUUGAUUACGAAUCAUUUGACACGUGCGAACCAUGCCUCAUGGGUAAGAUGACCAAGACUCCGUUCUCCGGAACAAUGGAGCGAGCAACCAACUUAUUGGAAAUCAUACAUACCGAUGUGUGCGGUCCAAUGAGUGUUGAGGCUCGCGGAGGCUAUCGUUAUGUUCUCACUCUCACUGAUGACUUGAGUAGAUAUGGGUAUGUCUACCUAAUGAAACACAAGUCUGAGACCUUUGAAAAGUUCAAGGAAUUUCAGAGUGAGGUUGAGAAUCAACGUGACAGGAAAAUAAAGUUCUUACGAUCAGAUCGUGGAGGAGAAUAUUUAAGUCACGAAUUUGGCACACACUUAAGGACAUGUGGAAUAGUUUCACAACUCACGCCGCCUGGAACACCUCAGCGAAAUGGUGCGUCCGAACGUCGUAAUCACACUCUAUUGGAUAUAGUGCGAUCUAUGAUGUCUCUUACCGAUCUACCGCUCUCAUUUUGGGGAUAUGCUUUAGAGACUGCCGUAUUCACUUUAAAUAGGGCUCCGUCGAAAUCCGUUGAGACGACACCGUAUGAAUUAUGGUUUGGGAAGAAACCUAAGCUGUCAUUUCUGAAAGUUUGGGAAUGCGAUGCUUAUGUCAAGAAACUUCAACCUGAAAAGCUCGAACCCAAAUCGGAAAAAUGCGUCUUCAUAGGAUACCCUAAGGAAACUAUUGGGUAUACCUUCUACCUCAGAUCCGAAGGCAAGAUCUUCGUUGCCAAGAACGGGUCCUUUCUGGAGAAAGAGUUUCUCUCGAAAGAAAUAAGUGGGAGGAAAGUGGAACUUGAUGAGGUGAUAGUCACCCCUUCCGAACCGGAAAGUAGCGCAGCGCGGGAAGAUGUUCCUGUGGUGCCUACACCGGCUGGGGAGGAAGUUAAUGAUGAUGAUCAUGAAGCUUCGGAUCAAGUUACUGCUGAACUUCGUAGGUCCACAAGGACACGUUCCGCACCAGAGUGGUAUGGCAACCCUGUCCUGGAAAUCAUGUUGUUAGACAACGGUGAACCUUCGAACUAUGAAGAAGCAAUGGCGGACCCAGAUUCCAACAAAUGGCUUGAAGCCAUGCAAUCCGAGAUAGGAUCCAUGUAUGAAAACAAAGUGUGGACUUUGACAGACUUGCCCGAUGAUCGGCGAGCGAUAGAAAACAAAUGGAUCUUUAAGAAGAAGACGGACGCGGAUGGUAAUGUUACCAUCUAUAAAGCUCGACUUGUCGCUAAGGGUUAUCGACAAGUUCAAGGGGUUGACUACGAUGAGACUUUCUCACCCGUAGCGAAGCUGAAGUCCGUCCGAAUCAUGUUAGCAAUUGCCGCAUUCUAUGAUUAUGAGAUAUGGCAAAUGGACAUCAAAACGGCAUUCCUUAACGGCUUUCUUAAGGAAGAAUUGUAUAUGAUGCAGCCGGAAGGUUUUGUCGAUCCUAAGAAUGCUAACAAGGUAUGCAAGCUCCAGCGCUCCAUCUAUGGGCUGGUGCAAGCAUCUCGGAGUUGGAACAUUCGAUUUGAUGAGAUGAUCAAAGCGUUUGGGUUUACAGAGACUUAUGGAGAAGCCUGUGUUUACAAGAAAGUGAGUGGGAGCUCUGUAGCAUUUCUCAUAUUAUAUGUGGAUGACAUACUACUAAUGGGAAAUGAUAUAGAAUUCUUGGAAAGUAUAAAGGCCUAUUUGAAUAAGUGUUUUUCAAUGAAGGACCUUGGAGAAGCUGCUUAUAUAUUAGGCAUCAAGAUCUAUAGAGAUAGAUCAAGACGCCUCAUUGGUCUUUCACAGAGUACAUACCUUGACAAGAUAUUGAAGAAGUUCAAUAUGGAUCAGUCCAAGAAGGGGUUCUUGCCUGUAUUGCAAGGUGUGCAAGUGAGCACGGCUCAAUGCCCGACCACGGCAGAAGAUAGAGAAAAGAUGAGUGUCAUCCCCUAUGCCUCGGCCAUAGGGUCUAUUAUGUAUGCCAUGCUGUGUACCAGACCUGAUGUAAACCUUGUCGUAAGUUUGGUAGGAAGGUACCAAAGUAAUCCCGACAUGGAACACUGGACAGCGGUCAAGAAUAUCCUGAAGUACCUGAAAAGGACUAAGGAUAUGUUUCUCGUAUAUGGAGGUGACGAAGAACUCGUCGUAAAGGGUUACGUCGACGCUAGCUUCGACACAGAUCUGGAUGACUCUAAGUCACAAACCGGAUACGUGUAUAUUUUGAAUGGAGGGGCAGUAAGUUGGUGCAGUUGCAAGCAAAGCGUCGUGGCGGGAUCUACAUGUGAAGCGGAGUACAUGGCGGCCUCAGAGGCAGCACAAGAAGCAAUCUGGAUAAAGGAGUUCAUUACCGACCUAGGGGUGAUUCCCAAUGCGUCGGGCCCGAUGACUCUCUUCUGUGACAACACUGGAGCUAUUGCCCUUGCCAAGGAGCCCAGGUUUCACAGGAAGACUAGGCAUAUCAAGCGUCGCUUCAACUCCAUUUGUGAAAGUGUUCAAAAUGGAGACAUAGAUAUUUGUAAAGUACAUACGGACCUGAAUGUAGCAGAUCCGUUGACUAAACCUCUCCCUAGAGAAAAACAUGAUCAACACCAGAACUCUAUGGGUGUUCGAUUCAUCACAAUGUACUAGAUUAUUGACUCUAGUGCAAGUGGGAGACUGUUGGAAAUAUGCCCUAGAGGCAAUAAUAAAAUGGUUAUUAUUAUAUUUCUUUGUUCAUGAUAAUUGUCUAUUGUUCAUGCUAUAAUUGUGUUAUCCGGAAAUCGUAAUACAUGUGUGAAUACAUAGACCACAACGUGUCCCUAGUAAGCCUCUAGUUGACUAGCUCGUUGAUCAACAAAUAGUCAUGGUUUCCUGACUAUGGACAUUGGAUGUCAUUGAUAACGGGAUCACAUCAUUAGGAGAAUGAUGUGAUGGACAAGACCCAAUCCUAAGCAUAGCACAAAGAUCGUGUAGUUCGUUUGCUAGAGCUUUUCCAAUGUCAAGUAUCAUUUCCUUAGACCAUGAGAUCGUGUAACUCUCGGAUGUCGUAGGAGUGCUUUGGGUGUACCAAACGUCACAACGUAACUGGGUGACUAUAAAGGUACACUACAGGUAUCUCUGAAAGUGUCUGUUGGGUUGACAAGGAUCGAGACUGGGAUUUGUCACUCCGUAUGACGGAGAGGUAUCUCUGGGCCCACUCGGUAAUGCAUCAUCAUAAUGAGCUCAAUGUGACUAAGGAGUUAGCCACGGGAUCAUGCAUUACGGUACGAGUAAAGAGACUUGCCGGUAACGAGAUUGAACAAGGUAUUGGGAUAUCGACGAUCGAAUCUCGGGCAAGUAACAUACCGAUUGACAAAGGGAAUUGUAUACGGGAUUGAUUGAAUCCUCGACAUUGUGGUUCAUCCGAUGAGAUCAUCGUGGAACAUGUGGGAGCCAACAUGGGUAUCCUGAUCCCGCUGUUGGUUAUUGACCGGAGGGUCGUCUCGGUCAUGUCUGCAUGUCUCCCGAACCCGUAGGGUCUACACACUUAAGGUUCGGUGACGGUAGGGUUGUAGAGAUAUUAGUAUGCGGAAACCCAAAAGUUGUUCGGAGUCUCGGAUGAGAUCCCGGACGUCACGAGGAGUUCCGGAAUGGUCCGGAGGUGAAGAAUUAUAUAUAGGAAGUCCAGUUUCGGCCACCGGGAGAGUUUCAGGGGUUAUCGGUAUUGUACCGGGACCACCGGAAGGGUCCCGGGGGUCCACCGGGUGGGGCCACCUAUCACAGAGGGCCCCAUGGGCUGAAGUGGGAGGGGAACCAGCCCCUGGUGGGCUGGUGCGCCCCCCAUGGGCCUCCCCUGCGCCUAGGGUUGGAAACCCUGGGGGUGGGGGGGGCGCCCCACUUGGCUUGGGGGGCAAGCCACCCCCUUGGCCGCCGCCGCCCCCAGAUGGGAUCUCCAAGGGGCCGGCACCCCCCCUAGGACCCCUAUAUAUAGUGGGGGGAGGGAGGGCAGCAGUACCCUAGCCCCUGGCGCCUCCCUCUCCCUCCCGUGACACCUCUCCCUCCCGUUUGCGCUUGGCGAAGCCCUGCCGGGAUCCCCGCUACUUCCACCACCACGCCGUCGUGCUGCUGGAUCUCCAUCAACCUCUCCUUCCCCCUUGCUGGAUCAAGAAGGAGGAGACGUCGCUGCUCCGUACGUGUGUUGAACACGGAGGUGCCGUCCGUUCGGCGCUCGGUCAUCGGUGAUUUGGAUCACGACGAGUACGACUCCAUCAACCCCGUUCACUUGAACGCUUCCGCUCGCGAUCUACAAGGGUAUGUAGAUGCACUCCUUCCCUCUCGUUGCUAGUAAACUCCAUACAUGGAUCUUGGUGAUGCGUAGAAAAUUUUAAAUUUAUGCUACGAUCCCCAACAUAAACCUACCCGGCGAUCCCCUCCUCGUCGCCCUGUUAGAGAGCGAUCACCGGGUUGUAUCUGGCACUGGGAAGGGUGUAUUUUAUUAAGUAUCCGGUUCUAGUUGUCAUAAGGUCAAGGUACAACUCCGGGUCGUCCUUUUACCGAGGGACACGGCUAUUCGAAUAGAUAAACUUCCCUGCAGGGGUGCACCACAUAACCCAACACGCUCGAUCCCAUUUGGCCGGACACACUUUUCUGGGUCAUGCCCGGCCUCGUAAGAUCAACACGUCGCAGCCCCACCUAGGCACAACAGAGAGGUCAGCACGCCGGUCUAAAUCCUAUGGCGCAGGGGUCUGGGCCCAUCGCCCAUUGCACACCUGCACGUUGCGAACGCGGCCGGAAGCAGACCUAGCCUAGUGGCGUUCUAGUCCAAUCCGGCGCGCGCCACUCAGUCGCUGAUGUCACGAAGGCUUCGGCUGAUACCACGACGUCGAGUGCCCAUAACUGUUCCCGCGUAGCUGGUUAGUGCGUAUAGACCAAAUGGCCAGACUCAGAUCAAAUACCAAGAACUCGUUAAACGUGUUAUGUUGAAGUAACCGCGGACGCCGUCCAGGGCCAGGCCCACCUCUUGCCUAGGUGGUCUCAACCUGCCCUGUCGCUCCGCCACAAAGAUCCACUUGCGGGUACUCCUACGAGCCGACCCGACUUUAGUCACCACAGGUGUCAUGUAUAUAGUAUAUAAGUAUAUACCCGUGAUCACCGCCCAAGUGAUCACGGCCCGAUAGUAUAGCAUAGCAGACGGGCAAGAAUGUAGGGCCACUGAUGGAAAACUAGCAUCCUAUACUAAGCAUGUAGGAUUGCAGGUAAAGGUAACAACAGUAGUAGCAAGGACAGGCUAUGCAUCAGGAUAGGAUUAACGGAAAGCAGUAACAUGCUACACUACUCUAAUGCAAGCAGUAUAGAGAAGAAUAGGCGAUAUCUGGUGAUCAAGGGGGGGCUUGCCUGGAAGCUCUGUUGUACAGGGAGAAGGGUCGUCGGUGACGUAGUCGUACUCGGUGGCCUCAGCGCUGGUCUCGGGGUCUACCGGAGAAGAAGAGGGGGGAAGAAACAGUAAAUACGAAGCAAACAAAGCAUCACAAAACAUAACGAGGCAAUACGCGGUGCUAGGUAAGCCCUAACACGGUAGUAAGUGAUACCGGCGAAGGGGGAAAACAUCCGGGAAAGUAUCCCCGGUUCGCGUUUUCGGACAGAUGAACCGGAGGGGGAAAGUUGCGUGUCUGCUAUGCUAGGGAUGUGUGGCGGACGAACGGGCUGCGUAUCCGGAUUCGUCUCGUCGUCCUGAGCAACUUUCAUGUAGAAAGUAUAUUCAUCUGAGCUACGGUUUAUUUUAUAUGAUUUUCUAAAGUUUUAAUUAUGUUUAGAAUUUAUUUAAUCACUUUAAAUCAACAUUAUCCAGAAUAGUAAAAGAUGACGUCAGCAUGACAUCAUGCUGACGUCAACAGUCAACUGUGCAGUUGACUGGGUCAACUACGUGUGGGUCCCGCAUGUCAUACACUGCUUAGUUUAAUUAGGGUUUAGCUAAUUAAUUACUGUUUAAUUAAAGUAACUAAUUAAUUAGAUUAAUUUAAACAGGAUUAAUUAACUUACUAAUUAAUUGAUUAACUAAUUAAUAAUUUUAUUAAUUACAUUUUCAUUUCCUUUUUAUUUUCGUUUUAGGGGUGUGGGGCCCCUACGUCAGUGGCCCAGGGGCAUCGGGCCCCACCCGGCAGUGGCCCAGGAGGCCGACCGGGGCGGGCGCGUGGUAACGGGCGUGGGCGCCCGUCGGGGCUGACCCUAGCGCGGCGGGCAGAGCCCCGUGACGCCAGAUCANNNNNNNNNNNNNNNNNNNNNNNNNNNNNNNNNNNNNNNNNNNNNNNNNNNNNNNNNNNNNNNNNNNNNNNNNNNNNNNNNNNNNNNNNNNNNNNNNNNNNNNNNNNNNNNNNNNNNNNNNNNNNNNNNNNNNNNNNNNNNNNNNNNNNNNNNNNNNNNNNNNNNNNNNNNNNNNNNNNNNNNNNNNNNNNNNNNNNNNNNNNNNNNNNNNNNNNNNNNNNNNNNNNNNNNNNNNNNNNNNNNNNNNNNNNNNNNNNNNNNNNNNNNNNNNNNNNNNNNNNNNNNNNNNNNNNNNNNNNNNNNNNNNNNNNNNNNNNNNNNNNNNNNNNNNNNNNNNNNNNNNNNNNNNNNNNNNNNNNNNNNNNNNNNNNNNNNNNNNNNNNNNNNNNNNNNNNNNNNNNNNNNNNNNNNNNNNNNNNNNNNNNNNNNNNNNNNNNNNNNNNNNNNNNNNNNNNNNNNNNNNNNNNNNNNNNNNNNNNNNNNNNNNNNNNNNNNNNNNNNNNNNNNNNNNNNNNNNNNNNNNNNNNNNNNNNNNNNNNNNNNNNNNNNNNNNNNNNNNNNNNNNNNNNNNNNNNNNNNNNNNNNNNNNNNNNNNNNNNNNNNNNNNNNNNNNNNNNNNNNNNNNNNNNNNNNNNNNNNNNNNNNNNNNNNNNNNNNNNNNNNNNNNNNNNNNNNNNNNNNNNNNNNNNNNNNNNNNNNNNNNNNNNNNNNNNNNNNNNNNNNNNNNNNNNNNNNNNNNNNNNNNNNNNNNNNNNNNNNNNNNNNNNNNNNNNNGAUCCAAUACGGGUCGAGGGGGGGCGGGCGCCGUGCGGGAGGAGACGGGAGGCGAGCGCCAACGAGGAGCGACGGCGUCGAGGACGCCCAGAUCCAGGGGGCGUGAGGGAGAGAGAAGUGGGGGGGGAGCGAGUGGGGAGUGGUUGGGGUAGGGUUUCUGUCGGGGUGAGGGGAUAAGGGAGCGCCGGCUGGGCCGGUUCGGUGGGCCGUGGCCCAGGAGCGGCAGGGGGCCUCUCUCACUUUUCUUCCUUUUUUUUAAAGACUUUUCUGUUUUCUUAUUUUUAUUAUUUUAUUUCUUUACUGUUUUCAUCUAAACUUCCUUUUAUUUUAGUUUUAUAAGAUGCCAAAUGAGCACCUAAAUUAGUAUUACUAAUUAGUUCACUGCCACAAUUAUUUUGGGACAUUAUUAAAUUAGUUAUAUUAUUAUAACUUUAUAAAAGGCAUUAAUUUAAUUGUUUUUGCUGCUGUUUUAAUUACUUUAGAGCCCUAAAACAUUUUAUCAAAUUUUGGUCUCUUCACCAAUAUAUCCUAUGAAUUAUUUGCCAUAAUAAGAACAUUUUAGUUUUUUUAUGUUUGAAAACAUUUACUGUUUGCCUAUAUUUUAAAUUUGAAUUUGAAUCGUUUUGAACGAGUUUAUCAACAGUAACCAUGGUGACGUGGCAUCUUUAACAGAGGUUUACAGCAGUAACAGCCAAAAAAAGGACACGCUAGAUAAAAGCAGCCGCUUUUGAUUCUAGCAAACACAUGUAUUUUCUGCAUUGAAACAUGGGAGAAGAUGUACAUCGAAAUGUGUUAAGAAGAGACAUAAGAGACCCUCAUCAUGGAGAGGAUUUUCGAGAAGUUCAAAAUGCAGGUUUUCAUGAGUUCUGCAGUGAACUUUCUACCGUCUUCUAGCUGUAAUAUAUUCAAACUAGGUACAAGAAAUGGGAGGAUGCUCAUUCUCAUUGAGUUGGUGAUGAAAUGAUUUGUGAACUUGAAUUUGGGGCUGAUCA